rnacentral:lncRNA from 1 species
UUUUUUUUUUUUUGGUAAAUAGUUUUGGUUCUUCUCUUUUCUUUUUUAUUUUUGUUCCUAAUAAAAUAAUUCAAUAAUUUAUUCCUUUAAAACAGUAAAAAUCCAUGCCACUAAUUUAGAUAACCAGAAGAGGUGAGUUGGCUUCCGCCACAUCAUUUGGGAUUCUUAUUUUGUAAAAUAUUUUGGUAUGUGUAGUGUUACUCACUCUAACAUCCUGGUUCCGCCAUUGAUAGAGACACUUCAAAAAGGUCAAAGAAUUGUAAUUUAGAACACGAAAUAUUAAGAGGCUCGACCUUAAUUAUUGCAGAUACAUUAGCAGUUAGAAGUUAGAUUAUAUAGAUAAACCUGGUUAUUCAUGUCACCACCAUUAGUGUGCAUGAGUCAUGACAUUUAGGAAUUAUUAAUGAUUGAGAGAAUAAAUGGUAUUUCAUUGUAUUUGUAACCGAUUACUAUUUAACACUUGCCAUUUGUAUACAUGAGGUAGUGCUAUAUAAAUCUCAUGUAAGAUGAAUAGAAGACCUCACCAAUUUAUCUACGUCAAAACUCUCUCGCUCUCAAAUCCAUUUCACUUUAUAACAAAGACUCAGCAGACUUUUUGCACCCAGCAAAAUUAUACAAAUUCUAACUACACCCAGCAACUUGACAAUAAUAUCCUUCUUUAAUCACACCCAGGAAAACCUAUAUUCUCUUGCUUGAGUUAUGAUCGUUUAUGCAAAACCUUGCGCCAUCUCCUUCGUAAGGUCUGAAAUUUUUGUUUGUUUGUUGAUAGAUUAACACCAUGUCUUGUUCUGAUUCAUGAGUAGUGUUUUGUUUUGCUCUGGUUUCAGUUUACUUAUAAUUAUGAGAGACUUAAUCAGUUUGAUCUGUUAAAGAUGCUUAAGUUAUUUGAAUGAGUACUUCAAUGAUGAUAUGCUUGAAUGCACUGGAUGACUUGAAUCUCUUAGAAAUGCAUUUCUUCCUUUCCUUUAUGACUGGUAACGUCCUUAUCUUAUAUAUAAUCUGAUGAUUCUGAUUCAUCCCAUAUUCCCAUAUAUAUAAUCUCAUCUCAUCCAUUGUUUGUUCAAUAGAGAGAAAAGGAGCAAUAAACACUUCUCAAUCAUCAUUCCUCUUUCUGGAUAUCAACCUCGAACAAGAGAAAGCAAGCUUCGCACCUUUAGUUUCUUCAUAAGACACAAACUAAAUUAGACUCCGAUAUUAUGUUUGGUUUUGCUUUACAAUGAGGUCCUAAACCUUGUGAAUCUCAAUGACCCAUAACCUCAAACACAUAUUUAUUCACAACCUUCUCGAGUUCUCGGUUAAUUGUUAUUGAUGUUCUGAUGGGUACAUCAAUAGAUGGGGGUUUCAAAUUUUAUGGUUUUUUGGUAGGGAGCUGAAAUUUAUGCUCCCAAAUUUGCAAACCACACUCCCUUAAUGGUGAUAUGACGAAACUACCCCUUAUCAGUCUUAAAACUCUAUUUUCUGGCUCCGUCUUCCCUCCUCUGUUCAUUUUCUUCUUCUCCUUAUCUUAAUCAUCUUCAUAUCCUUUGAAUUUCUACUUCUUCCUUAUAUAUUCUUCAUUAAUUGAUAUACCCAAUAUCAAAUGGAUCUUUUGGGUAAUUAGAGAUUAAGACUGUAUUGCAAUAUCAAUUCUUCCUUCCAUCACUCAAACGUCUCAUUCUCUCUCUCUCUCUCGCAUAGAUUUCAGCCUCACUCUCUCUUUGCUGUUCUGCGUCUCUUAUGAUCUGCUUUGCUGACAUUUCUUGAUCUCUAUGAAGAAACCAGAUAAAGGUGAGCUAAUGAAAUUUCAAAUAAAAGUAAGAUAUAUGGCUGAUAUGGUCUGGGUGGAGACGGGAGGUACCAAACUCUUCUUUUCAAUGAUGUUGGGUAUCUCAAAUAGAGAGAAUCAAGGUGUAGAUUUAGUCGUCAUACUCAGUUGAAUCCAAUCUAGCUCUUCACUAAUUCUAAUUUCUUCUUUACCAUCUAAGAUAUUCAGUCGAAUCAAUCUUUUCUCACCCUAUAUAACUUCAUCAGCGUCUUAUUUGAGCAAUUUAAUUUGGAUUUGUAGUGUUUGUGAUUGAUAUCAAAACUUCUAAUUUCCAGAAAUUGUUCCCAGUUCCACGAUUGUAGCCAUCAAUUUGGAUCAUCAUAUUUCUUUCUAUUUUGCAAAUCUGGGAAUCAUGAUAGAGAAAGAGAAAAAGUUGUUUUGGGUUGGUGUGAUAGGAGACGGGUAAACAAGUGAGGAUAUUUGUGGAAGAGUACUAAAAAGUAUUAUUAAAUAAUUGAAAGGGAGUGUGAUUCCCAAAUUUGGGAGUGCAAAUUUUAGCUCCCUUUUGUUAUUAUGUUUAUUAUUAUGAAAGUUCUUGUACGCACCAAGGUACAUGUAAACCAACUAUGAGUAACCAAUCAGAAUCAUUCAUUUAAUCCAUUCAACACACAACACUAACACCAAGGGUUAACACCGUUAAAGUGACAAAAAAAAUCAAUCAACAUGGUAAAAGUACUUAAGGCCAAGGUAAAUAUUCCACGGGCAAUUGGAAAAUCUGGAAGAACAACCUCUCGCCAUCGAGGAGGAGGUUCUUUGUAUAUGAGCUGAAUCUAAUCGAAAAUGAGAAUGGGUCUCCUCCGCCACCACCGUCUUGCCCGGCACCGUAUCUUCAUUACCUUCAGAAAACGAAACUCGGGCCUUCCUUUGGGGUGCAGCGGUUGUCAGAGAUAACCGAUGGCUGCCAUGGUUAUGGAGAAGCAAUGGAAGCAACAAAGAAAAAAUCAUGAAGAAUCUGAAAAUCGGAGAGGGUAGGAAUUGAAAUCUGGAAUUUCUGGAACUCGAACGAUUCCUCGCACCAAUAAUGAAUCGUCCUCCGAGUCUAAAGGAUUAAACCUCCUCUUCUAAUUAUCAGAUAUUUAGAUAUAGAUUAUGGUUCUUAGAUUGAGGUUUGCUGGGAAAGAUUUGUGAUUACCUGAAGGCUGAAGCUUUGCGAUGCUUCACUUUUCAGCUAUACAAACUUUUCAUCUUUCUUUUGUUAUUCUAUCCAAAUUUCCAAACGUAAACACUAGGGAGUUUACCUAUUUACCCAGUCUUAAUACUGUGGAUCUCUUACGCCCUCAUAAAAGGUACACAUGUAAAAUUCGCUAUUAUAAGGAAUAGGAUUUUUUUUUGGAGAAAGAGAUAAGGAUUAGGAUUAGGAUUAGGUAUUAUCAUCUAUUUAUUAUUUUUCAUUAGUGUAUAUAUAAUCAGUAAUUUAUUUUGAUGGUAGAAGGAUGAUUCAUUAUUGGUGCGACGUCCCAAUUUCGGAAAAAAAUAAAAUUAAUUUAAUUAAAGUUAAUUAAUCAUCCUCANNNNNNNNNNNNNNNNNNNNCCCAAAUGAAUUGUGGAGAAGAGUUGAGGUUACCGGGAGAAGACGUGCUUUCGACGAUUUUAGGGUAGAAGAUGUUGAAAAGAAUAUUCCAGCGUGANAUUUUUUUUUAAUAAUAGAUGUUUGUUUUGGUCAUUUAGCUUACCUAUAAAAUUUCAAUAGAAACAUAAAAUAAUAAAGGUGUGUAUUAAGAGAUUAGGGGUGUGUAUUUAAAAUUUCUCUUAAGACAGUCAAUUGUUAAAUUUUUUUGGAUUAAAUUUAAUUUGUCCCCUCGUACUUUAGGUCAAUAAUCAGUUUGGUCUCAUAUCUUUUUUUUUAAUAACGUUGGUCCUUGUACUCUCAAACAUCAUCAACUAAGUCCAAAAUUUUAAUAUGGCUUCAAAAAUAAUAUUAUUUGCUGAUUUGAAACUGACAUGGGGAUCCACGUACAUUUGAGCUUUUUAACCUACAAAUAGAGCUAACAAUGAAAAAAAGUCAUUUUUCAAGGACCAAACUCACCCAUAUUUGCACUAAAAUUCAAAUUUUGGACUUAGAUGAUGUCAUUUGAGAGUACAAGGACCAACGUUAUUAAAAAAAAUAUAUAUGAGACCAAACUGAUUAUUGAUCUAAAACACGAGGGGGCAAACUGAAUUUAAUCCAAUUUUUUUCUUCCCUAAAACGAUAUAAACAACAUUCAAAUCCAAUUUUCAAAAUUUGGUGAUUGUAAGCUUUGAUUGAUGGCCGAGCUAUUACUGUAUAGAUUUCCAGCAAUUUGACCAUAACUAAUUAAUUGUGUUUUUCCUAAAGUUUCAUGCUUAUUAUGAAAAAUCCGACCUUGUAGAUCGGUAUUCCUCUAGAUAUACGGUCAAUACUUGUAUAAUGCUCAUACUUCAUGUAAGAAAGGUUUCAAGAUUUAAUUUUUACUUUCUCUUGGUUUCAUUUACUUUUAUUUAAGUGCAAUAAAACAAAUUUUUUUUCUACAUUGCAAACUAAAGCAAAGCUAAUGUGCUUCUAAAAAAAAGCUAAGCUAAUGUAGUUUUUCUCUCAGUAAGAAAAACAAUACAAGUUUUUUAGGGUAUAAGCUUGUUUUCACUCAAAAAAAAAAAAGAAAAAAACAAAGAAGAAGUUUGCUUGACCCUAAACCUUAAACCCCAAAAAAAAAACCCGAUACCAAANNNNNNNNNNNNNNNNNNNNNNNNNNNNNNNNNNNNNNNNNNNNNNNNNNNNNNNNNNNNNNNNNNNNNNNNNNNNNNNNNNNNNNNNNNNNNNNNNNNNNNNNNNNNNNNNNNNNNNNNNNNNNNNNNNNNNNNNNNNNNNNNNNNNNNNNNNNNNNNNNNNNNNNNNNNNNNNNNNNNNNNNNNNNNNNNNNNNNNNNNNNNNNNNNNNNNNNNNNNNNNNNNNNNNNNNNNNNNNNNNNNNNNNNNNNNNNNNNNNNNNNNNNNNNNNNNNNNNNNNNNNNNNNNNNNNNNNNNNNNNNNNNNNNNNNNNNNNNNNNNNNNNNNNNNNNNNNNNNNNNNNNNNNNNNNNNNNNNNNNNNNNNNNNNNNNNNNNNNNNNNNNNNNNNNNNNNNNNNNNNNNNNNNNNNNNNNNNNNNNNNNNNNNNNNNNNNNNNNNNNNNNNNNNNNNNNNNNNNNNNNNNNNNNNNNNNNNNNNNNNNNNNNNNNNNNNNNNNNNNNNNNNNNNNNNNNNNNNNNNNNNNNNNNNNNNNNNNNNNNNNNNNNNNNNNNNNNNNNNNNNNNNNNNNNNNNNNNNNNNNNNNNNNNNNNNNNNNNNAAGGAUGUUGAUGAACUAUGCCGCCAUCGAGCAAGUCGAGUAGGGAGAUUAACACUCGGUCGGAGUCGGAGUACGGAAUUAGGAAAACCGAUCCUUUGAGAGGCAAUACGCAGAAGAUGAAUAAAGGUUCAGAAAUGUAGUCGAUAAUUCUGAGGCAUAUGAAAGUGGGUUGGUGAUGGAUGAUGGCUAUUUGCCUCUUGAGUCGUUUGAUACAGUCGAUGAUGAAUAAUGGGAAAAAGGUGAGAGAGCCAUGAUGGAAGAUUCGGUGGUAAAAUUAAUUUUUUACUACUCUAGAAAUUUUUGUCUCAGUUUUUAUUCUCGUUGACUGGCCAAACACUCAGUUAGCUUCCGUCUUCAACUAACGGUGCACGUGACCUGCAUAUCAGUGGUUAAAGUGCACCACGGUGCACUGAAUCCGCUCCGUUAUUAUUAUGACUAUCAAUGUCAUUUCAAAUCAGGAUAAGUUUGUCUUUUUAAUAAAAUUGUUAUGUUGGGUCUACUAAACAUUUGCUGGGCUAGGGUAUGUCUAUUGUGCAGCGCUUCAUGAUAUGCAGCGUGAAUAGUAUGUCAGGCGCCAAACACGUGAUGAGAAAUUGGAAAGGUUAACCGAGUAUAUCCGGUUUCCCCACACGAGCGAGAAUAAACACACCAUAUUCUACCAUAGCAAAACUGGUCUGCUACGACCUCGGCAUCAAUCGUGUAACGCCCUAAUUCAAAUCCUCACUGUUGAACCACCACCUUCACCGCCGCCCUCCGCCCUUAUUUUUCAAUUUCACAACCCCCAAUUGCAUCUGUAAGUCAUUGACUGGUUUUACCAUUUCAGUCACCGACUCAUAUUCCGAUUCCGAGUCCAGCGAUGGGUUGAGGUACAAAAUAUCUCGAUUCCGAUUCCGAUCCCGAUUCCCGACAAUGCCAAAGGUACGAAAUAUCUCAAUUAUCAACCCAAUGAGUUUCCAACUCAAUUGUCUCUAUCACAUUCAUUCAUUCGAGCGAUUUUGACUGAUGUUGGGAGGCUUUGUUUUGCCACUUAACUUCAAGGGAUAGGGAAAGCUCUGGCGAUUUGGAGAAGAGGGAGAAAGAAUGAAGGUGCAUUGGGUGCAAGGUGUUAGAGGUGAGUGAAAAAUUUCAUUGUCCGGUGAUAUGCUUUUUGUUCAUUUUGUCAAUUUACUUGUGGAGCUAUUGGUUUUCCACUGAGAUGUCCAUUUUAUAUAUUAGCUAAUUAAGUUCUAUUGAUAAGAACUUCAAUUAUUAACAACCUUAGUCGUAAGAAAUUUGUUAUCUCGACUAUUGUUGUUCUGGACAAAUGCAACUGUAGAGAAACUAGAUGAUUCAAAUCAGUUGAUUGGUGGUAGGGAAAAAACUAUGGUGUAGGUUGUUACGUCUGGAAGAGGCAAAGUUGUUUUGAUCAACUACUAGUGUAAAGUAGUUUAGAGGGAUCUGUGUUCUCAGUGGCGGACGCAAAAAAUUUUGUAAGUGGGGGCAAAAAAAAAAAAUUGAGGCUAAAGAGCCUCCAGAGACGACUCAAUGUCCAUUUCCACUUCCACUCCAUUAAUUUCGUAACUCUUCAUGUAGUUAAUUUGCAUUAUUUUGAAAAAUAUCGAAGUCUUUUUCACCAUUUAUAUGAAAUCUUAAUGAAGCACUAUAAAAUUGCAAGCUUUCCAACUUCAAAACUUCAAUAUAUGAAUUCAAGUUCAACUAGACCCCUCAAAAGAUCACCUAAAUUGAUACCCAAAACCAGAAAUCUAGAGAAUCAUUUAUCAGACUAUCUGGGAUAUAUUCCUUUGUGGGUUAAUUAACAUAUUUUUAAACAAUAGAUGUAUAUGUUAAAUCAUGAUGGGGGAAAAUCAAAUAAACAUUGACAUAUAUAAGAAGAUGAUUAGCAAGAAAGAAAGUUCACUGGGGGCAACUGCCCCCACUCGACCCCUCUGUGUCCGCCUAUGUGUGUUCUCUUUGUUUGGCAUUGCAUAAGGCAUCAUUAGACAAUAUUUGAGCAGUAGGAAAUGUAGCAACGGCUGCUUUUAAAGAUUUGAGAAUUUGAAGCUUCUGAAUUGAAGGUUGGAGCCAAAUUCAAUAAACACACACACACUCAACUGGUACUGCAUGUAUUUGAUCAGAAGACAAUAAAACCUAUGUCAUCUUUAAUAGUUGACAAUGAUUACCACAAAUGAUUUCAAUUGCUAUAUUUUCCAUGCUUUAAUGACAUUAGAAUUUUCUACAGGUAUCAAGAAAUUAUUACACACCAGUUAUGCUAAUUUGUGGUGAUGAUUGGUGAUGACAAACCCCCACAUUUUGGUCAUGCAGGAGUGUCGUUUCCGGGUUGCUCAUUUACUGAUAAAGGAAGAACAAGAAGGUAUAGUUAUCUUGAUCAUGCUUUCUUUCAGUCUUGCUAUUAUACAUUAUUUACCUGAUACUAUAUCUUUUCCGUUUUCAAAAUGUUCUCAGAGCUUGCUGCCCUCCAUUGUAUUGUAAUGUCCAACUUCUUAUUGUGUUAUGAAGAAGCUGAAUUUUUGCAAGCUGGCAACAUAAAAUCAUCAUUGUAAUUCAGAUAACAAUUGAUUAGUGUUAGAUUGCUCCAUUUCACACGUAUCAAGCAAAUAGUAUCAUUCAGGUACUGUCUCCUUCCCAAUUGAGCAACACCAUUGUUCAUUGUUCAUUCAACUUUUGUUCACCUUCUUUACAAUAACAAACAGGAGAAAGAAGUAGCAUCAUCAUCUUUACCAAUGAACAACCAGUUGGAGAAAAUGAAAAAGGAGUAAUGUUGAUGGACAACUCUUACUUUUGUGGCUUUUAUGAUAGCUUCUGCGGGUAUACACAUUUUUAGUAAAGAUUAUCACUCUUCAGCAGCAGUGCACCAGCAAGAUGUGAUGGUUUGAACUAUUCUUUGUCACAAUGAUUAUGCAGUGCACCUACAUUGGGUAUUGCAGGGCAGCAGCCUACAUCUAUUUCUUGCAGUCCAUGUAAAUAUACUGCUAUUACAAAUGUUAACGAUCAAUGAAUCACAUACGAUUUUUCCCGCGCGGGCAAUUUGCCUAGUUAUACUCUAAUCAACAAAAUAACAUCAAACCACGUUUAAUUAAUUAUUCCCUCAGGAUCGUUGAGUUUCCUUUAAACAAACAAAAAGAACGCACAAAGCAAACCUAAGUAGAGGCCAUGAAAGGAUCACAUAUAAGUGGGGUAUAAGAUCUCUUUUUACUCCACCAGGAACUAAAAUGACACCCCAACACAAAACAAUGUAAAAGUUGAUAGUCGUAACGCGGGCAUUGUUNNNNNNNNNNNNNNNNNNNNNNNNNNNNNNNNNNNNNNNNNNNNNNNNNNNNNNNNNNNNNNNNNNNNNNNNNNNNNNNNNNNNNNNNNNNNNNNNNNNNCAAACAGGAUAGCACAAUCUUUGCUAUCCUUGUGCGCGGGAUAGAGCAAAAAGUUGUCAGGGCCUAUUCACCCCCCCCCCCCCCCCCCUCCUAGGACCUUCACUUUCAAUCUUCUUUUUCAAUUAAGCUGUUGCCGGCUUGGUUCGUGAUAACCUGGAUCUCAUCGGAAAUCUUGGAAGCCUCGGCCACGAAUUGUGAAGACAAAGUGGAGAUCUUGGCUGCUGAUAUUCAUUGAAAUUUGAAUUUUGACGGAGAGACCUAGAGAAAACAUAUAUAGUCACACGGAAGUCAUUUUAACGAGGACUCUUUAGUUGAGGACUUGUUGAGUAUUUUUCGGCUUAUCUUAUCUUUCGAUCUUAUGUAUACAUCUUGACCGUUCAGUUUAUAGAUAUUUAUAAGUAUAUUAUUUCUCCAAAUUUUCAGCUAUAUCGAAAAUUGUUAAGGUAUUCAUAAGUGUAAUUUAUUAAUUAUGAAUUUGAAUGGUUCAUAUUUAACAGAUUUGGUUCGUUCAUUAAUUUGAUCUAGUUUGUUAUCUUAACGAAUACUAAUUUGGCUGAAAUUUUAUAAAAAUGAUAUACUCAUAUAAACCUAAAAACUGAACGGAUGAGAUGUCAAAAUGUGAUCGAAAAAUGAGUUUUUUAAACUAUAAACCGAAAAGUUCUCAACUAAUCAUCAACUUAAGAGUCCUUACUAAAAAAGACUCUCAUAAAGAUAAGAUGAGGAACAAAGUAAAAUAAAAGAUUUAUAAACAAUUGACUGGUGGUAGAGUAGAGAUAUGUUCAGAUUAUAUAGAGCACUAGAGAGUAAUAAAUCCUUUAAAUAAUUAAGUAUUAAGUGGGUGGUGGUUAUCAUCGAAAAUAAGAAAAGUGGGUGUUGGUGACAUUCAAAUGUUCAAUACACACCAAUAGUUUCAAAGGUGAUUUUCAAAGCGCACCAUUACAUUUUAUUUGUGACUUUACUGUCAACUAAUUUCAAGUAUUGGUGUCUGUUGAGGAUUGUGGUCACCAUUGAUGCAAUAGAGGGUAUAAGAUGGUAUCAAUUGCCCAUAUUUGUGGUAGUGUCAUCUGCAAGUUUCCGAUCAUAAAAGAGAAAGUGGCUAAGUGCUUCGUCUAAUUUGUCAACAAGUUAGAGCAAUUUGACAUAUUAAGAACAAGGUUCUUUUCUUAUAACCAUAAUAAAGUGACAAGGUGUUGUCUGUGAGCAUGAUGCUUGUAACUUGAGGAUACAUCCGAAUAAUGCAGUGAAAAUGGCAAUCAAAGUCACGUUCCUUGUAGAAGUAGAACCAAUAUAGCUGAUCUUGUUCUCCUCUGCAUAUUUCGAAGCAAUACAUACUUACCUAGCUGCUCCUUUGCCUUAUGGUAUGUGGCAGUUAGUUUUGCGCGCACAUUGAUCAAAUACACGGAUGGAAAUCGCAUGUCACUUUCAUACAGCUGAAGAAAACUGUAGGUAGAGUAUAAUACCACAACCAUGACAGUUACAAGCAUACAAUUUCCCCAAUGGAACGGUAGAACUUCGAUAUGUACCAAUUUUCCGUCUCCUUCUCUGAUGAUCUCUUACUGUGAAUUUAGUAAUUUUGACACGAAACUAUAUAAGUUGCAGGCAAGAUUUUAUUUCAGUUUUUAUUCCUAGAUCUGUGCACAUUACACGGUACUGAAAGUCAUACACAAUGUUGAGAUAUAUAUCCCACAUCGGGAAUUAAGACAUUGCCUGUGGGUUUAUAAAGGUUGAAUUGAGUCACUCCACUCAUAGCCAAUUGGUUUUGGAUGUGAACUCCAAACUACUUUAUCUUGGUAUCAGAGCGGGUUACCCACGUACGUUCACAUGUGAAGCUCAAAUGGCCACACGAACUCCACGUCACCCAAAUGUUGUCCACAUGUUAGGCUUGAAAAUUCGCCAUACGUGCGGGGGUGUGUUGAGAUAUCAAUCUCAUAUCGGGAAUAUAAGACCUUGCCUGUGGGUUUAUAAGGGUUUGGACCACUCCACCCAUAGCCAAUUGGUGUUGAGAUAUCAAUCCCACAUCAGGAAUAUAGGACUUUGCCUGUGGGUUUAUCAAUUGGUUUUGGAUGUGUGGGUUUAUCAAUUGGUUUUGGAUGUGAACCUCAGACUACUUUAUCAUGGUAUCAGAACGGGUUACUCACGUCCACGUGUGAAGCCCAAUGGCCAUACACACUCCACGUCACCCAAAAUGUUGUCCACGUGUUAGGCUUGAAAAUUCGCCAUAUGUGCGGGGGCGUGUUGAGAUAUAUAUCUCAUCACAUCGGGAAUUGAGACCUUACAUGUGGGUUUAUAAGGGUUUGGGUCACUUCACCUAUAGCCAAUUGAUUUUGGAUGUGAACCCUAAACUACUUUAUCACAAUGCAUGAUACAUGUGUGCAGGGCAUGUAAACUAGGCGUGUUCGUUUCUAUAUCGAUCAUCAAAGUAUUAAUUUUACCCAGCCAAUUCAUGAAUAUUUGAACCAGUUGUAACUUGUAAGUAAUCAUUAAGAAUGCUUUUAUGAGGAAUCUAUCAAACCUAAACAUUUGUUGGAUUCUUUGCCGUUGAGAGAAGUAAUGAUCGAAUAACAGAAUGCUAAAACUCAAAAUAUCCUUUAUGCAUGCACUGAAGGGUAUAUGCUUGGUUACUUGGAGAGCAUUGAAGGUAAGAGAAGUAAGGUAAAGAUUUGAAAAGAAAAAAUUAGGAAGGGAGACAUAAAGAUUCCCUUCUCUAGCUAGCUGAUUCUUUGGUUCCUGGAGAAGUAAAGUACUAGCAAAGCGAAGUAUAUGAGUCAUCGAAAGCAAAUUAAAUUUGUUUUAGUUGGCUUUAGUAGAGACUUGAGAGUGACAUAGCACAGAAUGUUCUCAUUUAUUAGAUGCAUUACUUGAGAGGAAAUUUUUUUUUUUUUUNNNNNNNNNNNNNNNNNNNNGAGAGAGAGAGAGACUGAGCAAUACUGAUUGUAAUAUAUAUAGAGGUAGGUAAUCAAAAAAUCAGAUUGUUGACGAUUUGAAUUGACAAUUGUGUAAGUGAUCAAAGCUGACUAUCCAUACAUAUCUUUAAAUCCCUAGUAUGGCAGAGAAGUGUUGACUAUAAACUCGAUCAACAUUUAAGAGGAAAUACUCUCAUUAUUCUUUCCCACAGAUAGGUUUUCUGAUUUCAUAGUUCAGCUCCACUACCCCCUUCAGGUUUUUCUUAAUCUUUCAUCUUCAUUUUCAUUUUAUGCUCGAUUGUUGGUUUGUUAAUUACUAAUUUGGUGUUCCAGAACUUUCAAUUCUUUUCUUGUGCUAAUACAUGACUGAAUGUGGUAAUUUGUUGUCAAUGUCGUAAAUCUGGUUUAUUUGAAUUGUUUUUAGUUCAAAUGGAAUGAGUGCAUUAUGCAGAUCUCAGUAUCAUAAACUACCCCAAUAAUUCUAUAACUAAAAGGAAAAGAAAAGAACCACUGCAAUAGCUAGCUCAGAUGUUGAUGGACUUAACAAAUUCUGCCAGUUAAUAAAUUAGUUACUUGUAGCGGUCUAGUUUAUUCCAGUGAGCCACUCAUCGAUCAGAUUUGUAAUCAUUCUCCUAUCUAAUUCGGUUUGUGCUUGAUUAGUGUUGUCUUUUGUGUUUGAUAUACAGAUGCAUUAUGGCUUGUGUUAGUGUAAUCUAGCUUGCAUCCAACUUAUAAGUUUACUUGUUUUCUUGAAGCUAGCUAGCAAUGAAGUCUUCGUCUAGUCUCAAAUCCAAUUCAAACUUGGAAAAAAUCUUGACCAUUGAGGAUGUCAGAGAAACCCACAUUCCCUCACUCCUCAAUAGCCUCUCCGAGGCCAAGCGUUACCUUUCUGAGACCCACGCAGACAACAAUGAGGCAGGGAAAAUUUCCACUGAAAUUGAAAAGCUUCGUAAAGACCUCAUUUUCAUCAAGCAAGUUUUCACUGGACUGGACACUUUGGGAAAAAGCACAAGUGAUCUUUUCAAGGUUCUCCUCGAGCACAGCCUAGACCCGCUUUUGGAGCGAGGAACGCAGACUCGCUACCACGAGUCGCUUGAAAAGCAAUUCAAGCCAAAGCUUGGAGUGCUUGCUGAGGUUAUCAUCAAACUGAAGCUCCUACUUCCAUCACCGCACAAACUGUUGUUGGAUAGGUCCAAUCCUUUUCUACUGUCCAGCAUUCAUUUGGGUGCAGGCAAUCGUCUCAAUCAAUUGCUUGGCUUACACGCAAGUGAGGUGUUCUAUAAUAGCCAGGCUUUUAAUGAGUUCCAGAAUGUUUAUAACAGUCUUGGUACUGUUACUACAAAGCUGUGCUUGCUGUGUUUCGCUGUGUUUCCGGCUAAUGAGGUUCUAAAGAAGAAGCGUCUGGUACAUUGGUGGGUCGGAGAAGGCAUCCUCUACCCUCCGGUGGAGGAAAUUGCUGAUGGAAUAUUUGAGGAGUUAACAACUAAGGGCUGCAUUGAACCGGUCAGGAAAAAGAGGAGAUCAGACCCGCAUAGUUUUAAAUUGCACCCUCUAAUUCGUUCAGCAGUGAUUCGGAUGGCCAAAGAAGUCGGAUUCUUACAAUUUGAUGACAAAGGGAGACCAACAACUGAGUUCUCAAGCUCUUAUCGGGCUUGUCUUGUGAGUGGUUGUCGUCAUCUGGAAUUGGUAACUAAAACCGAUAUGGAAUUAGAAAAACUGCAGACUAUAUUCAAUGUGAACGAGUCUUAUCCAAAUUUUUCCAAAGUGGAAUGGUCCAGGUUGAAGAAUGUGAAGGUUCUUUAUCUUGGAAGGUGGCACAGCAGGGCUAAACAUCACAUUGAAGUAGUCGACAUCGAUUUCUUGAAAGGGUUGAUGUUUAUGACACGUUUGAGGUUUCUCAGCCUCCGAGGAAUAUCAGGGAUCAUGGAGCUACCUGAUUCAUUAUGCAAGCUUGUUUGUUUGGAAAUCUUGGAUCUUGGAGCAUGUCACAAUCUAGAGGUGCUUCCGGAGAAAAUAAGCUCGCUUAAGAAGCUCACACACUUGGACAUGUCCGAGUGUUACUUGCUGGAUCGUAUGCCUAAGGGGAUCGCAUCGCUCUCAGAACUUGAAGUUCUUAAAGGGUUCAUAAUUGGUGAUCACAGGCAUAACACUUCGUGUACUCUGCAUGAUUUGUCAGAAUUGCAAAAGUUGAAAAAAUUGACAAUCAACACAAGCAGGGAGGAUUUUCCCAAGGAAGAAGAGCUAACUGUCUUGCAAGGAUUUGGUUCACUUCUAAAGCUAACAAUAGCAUGGGGAGGAGUAGACUUCCUUGCUAACCGCCAGGAGAAGCAUAGUAAGCAACACAGAGUUGGAGCACAACCUAAAACAAGCACGACAGAUGCCAGAGGGGGUAUCAGAAAAGAAGAUCAUGCUAAUGGUGUUCAAAAUGAUGUGCGCAGAAUUCCGGCAAGGUUAGUAACCUCGAGGCGAGGGGCUACUCAGGAACAUUUCAAAGUACUUGAGAAACUGGACUUGCAAUGCUACCCUCAUAUGAAAGCACCAAGUUGGUUGGCGCCUGGAAAGCUCGAGAAGCUGAAGAAACUCUACGUUAGAGGGGGACAGCUCCAAAGUCUAGGUCAAGUUCAGGAGAGUGAGAAGUGGACAGUUGAGAUGUUGCGUCUGAAGUUCUUGAGUGAACUAAAGUUAGAUUGGAAUGAACUCCAGGCAGCAUUUCCAAAAUUGAAUUAUGUGGAGAAAUUUAGAUGCCCUAAGACCACUUUCUUCCCCUGCAAUGAGAAUGGAAUCUGGCUGAAAACUGAAAACUGAAAAUUGUGGCCAGAGCAACAGGAAAUUUCAGUGUGAUGCCUUUUGCAUGUCACCAUUGCCCGAUAUUGUAUGCUUUCCUUUAUUAGAUAAAACCGUGUGAUUUCUAUAUUCUAUUCUGAGGAAGAAAUUAGUUGUUUUCAAAUAAAAUAGCAUACUAUCAUACAUUGUGAUAGAAGUUUGCCAAGUUCAACAAAGCUAAUGCUACAUUGAAGAAGAUACUUUUCUUCGGCCUAAACAAUGCUACAAUGAAGGAGAAUGAAUUUGAUUGCACCAUAUUACAAUGACAUGGAUCCGAUCAAAUUCCUCUAUAACAGGAUAUUUGGUUUAUCUUGUACAGGUGAUGCCAUGAUCUAAAACAACGUGAGAACAAUCUAUAUCUGAGGCCUUACCAAGAAAAAAAAACAAAUCUAUAACUGUGAUUCCAGUUUGAUAUCAGCUUUAACAACAAAUCAAUGCAUAAGCCAGAGACAAAAAAUCUCAGACAUGAUCAGCUUGCACUGCCAAAUCCUGUAUUCCCAAAUCGUGGUACAAGCCAUGCACCAAUUGAAGAACAGGGCGAUCAUCUAUCCCUUUCUUGACCUGUUUGAAUUAGCAUCAUCAGCCAUUAAAGGUGGAAAAUUGUUACCAGAAAAUGUAAACAAUUGUACAUAAUAGACUGUUUAGCCAAACUGCACGCAUCUACAUUCACUGAACAUAGAUGAUUUUUUAGUAUUUACCUGUAACGAGAGUGAGCCAACAACAUGACCAGGAACUACCUCCCAAAAUCGAGCCUGAGAAACUUCAGAAACAUCUUCGCGGGCAGCAAUCUAAGAAGAAUAUAGAAUAAGUGAUGCUGAAAAUUUGGAAAAACCAUUUACCACUAAAGCUUCUUAUAUAAUUUAAACACAACCUGUCGCCAGCAUUUGCUCAAUGCUGAAGUUGGAACAUUUGGUGGUGCCAUUUGGAGCAGAAUACCUCCAGUUGCUCUAAAGAGUGGCAUUACAAGCAUAAAGACUACAACUGCAACUAGUCCAAAACACAAAACUUCUGCAUUCUGAACCCUGCAUAUUAAAAGCAGAUCAGGUGAGGUAGACAAAUCAACAAGGAAACACAAAGAGGUAGGUAGAAAGGAAGCAGUAUUUACCCAAGAGACAGAAACCAGGAUGCCAGUAUCAACCCUGCACUGGGAGACAUAUACCACACCACAUUCAGACGGAAGUUUACAUAAGAGAGAGAAUAUAGAGAGCAUGUGGGGGGCAAACAUAGGCAAUUACUGUGGAAAGACAUGGAGGAUGAAGGCAAGAAUAGAGAAUAUUCUACCUGCGUAUGGAAUCUGCGAGAACGUGCAGACAAACUGAGUGGUUGUUCAUAUCCUCGGCAUUCCUGUAAACUGCAAGACAUAUGUAUGCCAAAUAAGAAAAUGUACAACAGGGUAAAACAACUCUUUUUUUAUUGUUACUCAAUUUAGAUACCAUAAUCCACUAAACAUCUCAUCUUCAGAUGUUCAUACCCUCCUUAGUGCUCAGAAUUAUUGGUAUUCAACACAUACUGAUAACAUCAUAUGCAUUCGCUAAUACCUUCCUAUCACUUCAGUGAUAACUGAGCUAUGAUAUAUAUCGAUUAUUAAAUCAGGAUACACAGGUACGCAUGUAUCAUAAAGAAAAACAGAAAGUAUCCAUGUCAAUCCCUAGAUAACAACAUGUAUCACUGAGGCUGAGGUAUAUUAAGGAAUACACAACCAAAGUUUUAUUCGGUUACUUUCACAUCGCUAAGCCAAAACUUUUCAAUCAAUGUCAGGUACUUAUCAGGGUCUUUGUUACAAGGUUUAACCUAGUUGCACUAGCACUGAUAAUAUACUAAGCCCAUUAUGGGUAAUCUUUUAUCCAAUCAAAAAUGCCAUGACAUGCAAUAGAGUCAAGUAGGUCUCAAAAUCAACGAAAAUUCAUAGAUGCCAGGUCAAGUCACAAGUUGGUAUCCACAGAAUACAUAAACUAAGUUGGAAACUUACCAAGAUUGAUACGAGCAUAAUUUCUGAAGAACCAAACACCAAUAAGAUUCACCAGUAGAUUUGUCACUGCCGAAACAAUCAAGUAAUGCCUAUAACCAGAAAAGUAACAUAUAAUAAAUCAUCAGAAGGAAAUCCUAGAAUCAACGAGGAAGCAAAAGAAUUAUAUGAUGGAAGUUCAUCUACUGAUGUUUACAUAUACAGAGAAGAUGAUGAAUUAGAUAGAUUGGCCCACAAAAGAACCAAGCACAGAAAAGCAUAUGCACAUGCAUCUAGUCAUUGUCACACGCCUCAGUUUCAGUUACACAUACAUAUCAAACACGUGAAUCUAGACACGCUUUUGCAUAAAAGACAAAACAGCUUUAUGUUGUGUCCCAAUCCGAAACAGGCAUCUGGAGUCUCAUGAAAUGCAAAGUUCAAAACAAAACUGAAAGCAAAUAAAAUGGUGACACAAGAAUGAUCAAGUGUAUAUGGAAAAAUACAACUUCAUGAAGAAUCUAGUUCAAUUGGCACAAAAUUGGAACGAGCACAAUUUUUUCAGAGGAACAAGUACAUAUAGAUGCAGUAAAUUUUCAGAUCAUUAUAGUUCGGAUGACCAACUUACUUGUGUUCAGAUUCAUCCUGUAUGAAUGCGUGAAGUGCUUCUACAGCCAAGGAGAAGGACAUAAACAAAAGAAACAGCUGUCUACAUGUGCAGCAGAAUCAACACAAAGUCCACAUAUUAGCCGAGGAUGCAUGAAAGCCAAUAUAACCAAAAGAGAAAAAGGAGGGAAUCUCUUCCAAUACAACCAACAUAGAUCUUUAAGAGCUCAAAAGGUGAAAACAAAUGUGGCAAUUGCAUAAUGUAACCAUGAAAACAUUAUAAUCAAGUUAAAUAAUGGCAAUUGCAUAGCAAGUAAUGAUAAUUUACAAAUUAUUAGUUAAGAGAUUAUACUAUGAACCUUAAAAAUGAGACAAUACCUAGAAAAGGUGUGCCUACAAAACUAAACAGCGUUGUAAGACAGGAGUAAACCCGUCCAAACAUAUUAUCCAAACCCUAAUACACAAACUGCAUAGCUUACCAUGCAGAAACAAAGUUUCCAGAUAUAUUACAAAAGUAUGGCACGAGAGAAAGGAAAUGUGAAGUACUUACAGCAUUGGUAAAAGCUGACAAAACUUCAAGCCUCUUGUACCUGAUUCAAACAGCAAAAGCGAAAACACAACCCACACAUUACUCUCAAAUCCGAAACAUCCCUUUAGCUAUCAACAAAAACAAUCCACCAUUUCCAGUAAUAAUACAGACAUAACAAUCCUCACCCGUAAGUGUAGAUUCCAUCAGGCUUCUUUCGAGAAGCCGCCAUCGCAAACAGCGAAAAGGUCAACAGCCCACACCCGAAAGUCAAAUGAAAUGCAUCUGACACCAAACCUGAAAAAAACACACCACACAGAAAAAUCAAACCAAAUACAACCACAUCACAAAACUACCGAGGAAAAAAAUACUUAACGCAUCACGAUUUCUACGAACCUACACGUCCGGUGAAGAGUCCAAUACACAACUCGGCAGUGGAAUACGCCACGUUGAGCGAAAUCAAGAGAAACAAUCGCUUCAUAUACCGAUUUCCGGACCUGAGGAUCCGAAAAACCGAUUCGAAUACAAUCAGAAAGGUCAAUUUCUCGGCGGAAACUCUUCCCUGGCCGAAGAGCUUGUCGUUUCCAUCGGAGUACGCGCCGGGCGGGACGUCGAUGCUGGAGACGCUGCGGGACAGGAAAGGCGUGGUGGCGGACGACGAGUCGUUGAGGUUGAUGGAGGCUUGGCGGGAAAAGGCGAGCCUCCGAUCGGUGGCGCCGAGUCCGAGACGGUCGGAGCUCCAUGGAGUCUGAGGGUUUUUGAAGGAGUUGCUCUGUUCCAUUGGAGUUGGGAGUUUUUCUGUUUGGAAUUUAGGGAUGGGAUUCAGGUCUGAGAUUCAUUUUUAUUUUGGAAAAGUAGUUGGAGAAGACUCAGAGUCGAGUAAACGGUCUUCAACUGUAGCAGAGACUUGUUUGUGUCUGAUAUGUGCUACCUGCCGUCUGAUAGCUCAUCACACGGCUGACAAUGAACCUGGUAAAUUUACUAAAGUUCUAUUUACCAACAGACCAGUUUACUGCUCAGUUUCAUGUUUACGUAAGUUCAAGCUUGAAUGAAAAGCUUGUACGUACUGAACAUGAGAAUCCGCUACAUAUAUAGCAAUCAAAUGUAUAUGUUCUGUACAAGCAGAUAAGUAAAAGCUGAUGGACAAAAAAUUUCACUCAUUUUUGAAUAGUUCAUGUUAUUACAAUUUGGUUCUCUACAUGAGGAGUCAGAAAUGAGAAAUUUGACACGCAGCUGGAGAACAAGUAGAACCAUCCUCUUCAGCUGGAGAACAAGUAGAACCAUCCUCUUCAGCUGCUCAAAGUAUGCACAUCAACUGUUGCUGAUUCAGUUGGCACUAUGCAGAAUUCGGAAUAGGAGAACAAAUAUUAAAUGCCUAUACAACAGAUUCUGGAGUUGGAGAUGCUGGAGAACAAGUAGAACCAUCCUCUUCAGCUGCUCAAAGUAUGCACAUCAACUGUCGCUGAUUCAGUUGGCACUAUGCAGAAUUAGGAAUAGGAGAACAAAUAUUAAAUGCCUAUACAACAGAUUCUGGAGUUGGAGAUACGGAAUACCAUUUCUCAACAUAGAUUACACCCCUGACUCCACCAAUGUGCUUACAGUUUCAACUCCAUUUAUCAGACCAGCUGGGUUUGGAAACCUUCAAAUAGUGACAUUAUGAAAAUAAAUAAUGCGGGUUUAUCAUUGAGAAGUACAAGAGAUGAAAUUGAGAUGUUAGGCUUUAUAAAACAUAAGGAAAUUUAUGUGAAAGAGAUUAUGUGAGACCAGAACAAAUACACGGCCCCAUCCAUAACCACAAGUUUGAUUUAAAGGAGCACACUAACCCAUUACUUCCUUACUUCCAGGAAUCAAUCAAAUGGCAUUACACUGACAUACUUGUAGGGUGGGGAAGGGAAUACAAAAACAUAAAUAAAAAAAUUAAAAUAAAAAACUUACCAUCUUGUCAGGACUGCAUAUGAUAAUCCAAAGUAUAUGCGUUAAUGUCAGAAGGACUUGUGCCAGGCCUGAAAAUAAAAAUCAUGAUUGAAGAAUACAACAGCACUCUCUACUCAGCAUUGGAAGAUUUAAAUCAACCAAAUUUGAACUACUCACUAAUGCCUAAUUCAAUCUAGAUGUUGUUGGACUAUAUUUGUCCUUUACAUUGCCAAUGAAUCAUUUUUAUCUUUGUAGAACACAUAAGCCGCAAAUGCUGCAGUCAUGUUAUACCUGGAAAACCAAUUAACUGAAAAUACCUUUUAUUAAUGGUUCCAUAGUGGAACUUAAGCUUCCCUGCCUUCACAUCUUCAAUGUACUGCAGUCAUAAACCCAUAAGAGAUAAGAAAAUGUGAGAGAAGAUAAUAUCUAGUAAUUGAAUAGAUGUUGAAGGACGAAGAAAGACCUUACCAAUUUUAAAGUAACUACCAUUGAUGAGAAUGACAGAGAAUCAAAUGGUAUAUCAUCAAGUGCAAACAGUCGGCAUUCUGAUGAUUCUGGACCUGGUGAAAACUGGGGUUUUUUCAGCCUUGCUAAGAAAAUUACGUAGGUCUGCUCAAAGAAACACAAAAGCAUCUUUACCAACUAUACAAAAUCUUGAAAGUGAAUAACGGAAUUCUAUAUAAAUAAAUAGAAGCUCCCCGCCGACCUGGCCGAUAAGAGGUAUGUCCAAUUGAGCAAAAGGGGAUACAACUUCAACUUCUGCACAUGCUUCUUCCCAGGUCUCCCUGAUUGCUCCUUCGGCAGCUGAUUCCCCAAUUUCUAGGUAACCUGCUGGAAGAGUCCUAAAUGACAAAAACCAACUAUUACCAUGAUGAUGAACCUCAAGUACAAGAUGCUACAUUCGUUAUAACAAAAAGUUGCUAGUACCCCAGGUUGCUUAGACAUAAGUUCUUUUCCAAAAAGGCCCAAAUCAGUUGGCCCUUCAAAAUUAAAAGCUUUAUUUGUUAACAAACAUACCAGAGGCCAUACGACGGUUGAAUGUUCCUCUUGCAAAGUAGAACCAUGUUAUCAUGCUCAAUCAGACAUCCCACGACCUAUAAACAUCAGUUCAGCAGACAAUAUCAAAAUAUGAUGUCACAUUUGAAAGAAAACAAACUAUUCAAAAUGUACACAGCACAACUCUUAGGGACCAAAACAAAGAUUGAGAUAAGGUUUUGAACAUCACUAUGCAUGCAACAUUCUAAAACCAUUUCUGUCCGUUAUAUUAUAAUUUGUUUCUUCUAGGUUCCACAUUUUUUCACAUUUAUAAAAGUAAAACGAAGCACACCAGACCGAUUAAUAAUACUAUAACUAGACUUGUAACAAUAAUAUGUAAGUGAUGACCACACAUGCAUUCAAUAUCUAUUACAGAUUUACAGCAUAAGAUCCUAAGAAGCAAUGCUGAGUUGAAAACCAAGGUAGCUCUUGAAGUAUAAAAUUGUUAAGUUCAUCAGUUAAAGAAGUGAAGGAAUAACAUAGUUAACCUUCAUUUUCCACAAGACUACUACACGAUAUCCUACGUAGGAAAAUCGAGACAAAAGCAAAACAAUAGUCUUAGAAUAUCAUAUCUGAGAUUGUUCAACUCCUAUUGACUCGCACUAGUGUAAAUCCUAAUAAACAGACUGCACAACUGUACACCCACCCAAGAUAAACAAAACAAAAAACAAAAAAUUACUUAUUCCUGGAUUAACACAUAUGCAUAACUCAAUGAAAUUUCCAUUGCAAAGUAAACGCUUGAACAGCAUACCAUUUUUGGGUUCUCAUAGGCAAUCCUAUCACAAACUGUGCAAAUAGCUCUGACUUUCUCCUCUCCAUCAGGUAUCUCAUGCUUUGUUGCACCACCGCACCACUGGCAGAAAUUUAUCUUACGAGCAUUCCCCUUCACAGUAACAGAAACUAAAUUUGUAAAGGACAUCUACACAUGAUACAAUAAACAAAAUUCAAAAGCUUAAUAUGCAAGGUAAAUUGUGUUCCUAGACUAAAGUAAGUACAGCAAUUGAUGCGAGUGUCUGCUACGCUUCUAUAUAAAGUUGUUUGGUGGCGUAUAAUAGCCAAAACAGCUGAUCUUAAUGGAAAGCAUGUAGAUGAAGACUUGAUAAAGAAAAGCAGCAAAACUUUCACUACUAGAACUUGAAACGCAUGAUAUCAAAAGGGACAAUCUUUAAUAAAAGAUGCAUCCCAACUCAACUUUGCAAUGAAGAUGUCUCAACCAAAAGUUCCCCUAUUUACAAACAAAACAAAACAAAACUUGUUCAACCUCAAUAGAUAGCACAAACCCAAUUCACUAUAGCCAAUCAAGAUUCUCUAUCAAACAUUCAAUUACCCUGAAUUGAAUAAACAACAAAGCCACUUACAACUGACUGAACCACAGUUGGUGAAGAAGAAGAAGGGGCAGAUGGGGUUGACCCGGAAUGAGCCGAGGACAUACUGAAAGCUCGGAAACGGGUCCGGCGAGCUGAGUGUUCCGGAAAUAACAAAUGGGUUGCUCUCAAAGAAGAAAAAGAAUACGAAAAUGGUUUGGUGGAGAGGGAAGAAAUGAAGGAGAGCCUACAACAAGUGGUUCUAGUAGUUUGGGGCUUAACCAACCCAGAUGAACAGCCCAAGAUCUGUAUGGUUUUGAGCAUUAUAUGAUUUACUAUCAGGGAUUUUGAGACCAAGAUAUUGAGGAACAGAAACCGAAGACAAAUUGGUACACAGAGAAAGAAACGAAUUCAGAAACAGAGUGUGUGUUCCAUCAUCGGUUUUUGUUUAGAUGCUAUCGCUUUUGUUUUGUCCCUACGGAGUAGUGUCCCGCGUUUACUCGGUCAAUUUGCGCGAGUUUUAUCCGACUUAUCCUUGGUGGUCUUAGGAGACGAAGUGUUUUUCCAUAAUAUGUCCCGGGGCAGAUUAGUCUAUGAGCUCAUAAAGUUUUUACUUGUAUCAUUUAAUCUUGAUAUAGAUGAAUGAGUAAUGAUACAUACCAAAUUUUUUCACUAAAGAUGAAUACCAAAUGAUGUUGCUCUAGCCACACCCAACACCAUUGGUUUGAUAUAUAGGUGACAUGGAUCUUCUGUUUAACUGAAUAACAAAUUAAAAAAAAAAUCGAAAUACUUUAAUUUGCUUCUUAUUUAAAAUCUGAAACCCUAAAGUAAAUAAAAAGUUUUUAAGUCACAAACUUAGAAAGUAGAUGAGCGUUUGGUUUGCCAUAGUCCAAACUAGUGUUCGAGUGCUUACCAUGAUUCGGGUUGCUGCAUCUCCGAAGGAAAAAAUUGUUUUAUCAUCUAGUUGUAUACACCGAAGUCACGAUGUCAACGAUAACGAUUAAAAGUCGAUAAAUUUUGAUCGUGUAUAGAUUUAUUUUAUUUUUUUGGUAAUCUAGUUGAAGACGUCAAUCGUGUAUAGCUGAAGUCUAUGCAAUUAGGCUCAAACCCAGGAAAAUCUGAAGCCAUCAUAGACAUGGUAGAGUCUCCCAAAAAAAGAGUAACAUCACUGUAAGUGUCUAUCUCUGCCCACUUACGAUGAUAAGGCAUCCAACUUGAAAAUUUUGAAUCUUAUUGUAUCACGUGGCCGAUGUCGUCCAUGACGAACUUGCAUAUCUAAGAAUGAUCAACAGUCCUUUACCAUCACUUGACUGCAGCAUAUUUCUCUUCAAUAAGCCCACAAGUUCUUCAUCAAAACUUUCUGCAACGAUCGGCAUAUGUUAAAUUGAAUUGACUAGUAGUUAUGUGACUUAUGUCACAAGAAAAAACUCGGUUUAGAAAAUCAAGGCCAGGGUGUAUGGUGUAUCUUUAGCAUUAACAUUUUGAUAAUUCAUGCAUCAAUAUAAGUCCAUCUUGUAUCUUCAAUAUGAUCGGUUGGAAUGGGAUUUUUUGAAGAAAAUCAUGUUGAGGAUGGGAUUUGCUCCUACUUGGGUGGACUUGAUUAUGCAUCGUCUCUCUAUUGUUAGGUACUCUUUUUUUAUUAAUGGAGUGCCUAGGGGAUUUGUCACUCCCCAUUGAGGAUUGAGACAUGGUGAUCCCAUCUUACCUUAUUUGUUUAUGUUAUGUGCUGAAGGAAUAUCGGCUUUGAUUUCUCAGUCUGUUGCUCAGGGUAAUUAGCGUGGUUUGCAAGUCUGUGAUGGGGCUCCCAUGAUCAGUUUGCGGAUGAUAGUAUGUUGUAUGUUAAUGCUUCGCGGGACUGUAUUGUGAUUCGGGAUAUUUUAUCUACUUAUGAGAGAGCGCCUGGUAAAUGGGUGAAUCUCCAAAAGAGUAGUAUUGUGUUUAGCGAAAGUGUUGCAUCUCCGAUUCGGCAAACAUUAGCAGAUUGUUUGGGUAAGCAGCAGGUUGACAAGCAUGACAAGUACUUGGGCAUUCUUCUCUUAGUGGGUCGGUCAAAAAAUGACACUUUUGCUUAUAUUAAAGAUAACUUGUCUAAGAUUCUGACGACAGAAGGUCAAAACUAUUGAGUGCUGCAGGUAGGAAAAUUCUUAUAAAGGUAGUGGCGCAGGCUGUGCCGUUGUAUACCAUGAAUAACUACCUACUACGUCAACAUUUGAUUCAGGAACUACACCAAUUGUGUGCCCAAUUUCGGUGGGGAGGAACAGAUGAGAAAAAAGGUAUGCAUUGGAGAGCAUGGGAUAAGCUUUGUAGACCGAAAGCAGAAGGAGGUAUGAGUUUCAGACACCUAUUUACUUUUAAUCUUGCAAUGUUAGCCAAACAUGGUUGGCAUUUGAUACAAAACCUAGAUUCCCUUCCGAGCAGAUUACUGAAGCUAUUUACUUUCCACAUUCUAAUUUUUGGAAUGCUGAGUUGGGUAACUCUCCGUCAUAUGCAUGGAGAAGUAUCCUAGAGGGAAGAGACGCUCUGCGAUAUGGAGUCAGGAGACAGAUUGGAGAUGGACAAUGAACAAGUGUUUGGUUUGACCCAUGGUUAAAAGUUGUUGAUCUGAAGCAUUAUUUGUCUGACGAAGCUACCAUAGUGGCAGACCUUUUUUGCAAUCCAGGUAUGUGGAACAUCCCACUACUUACUGAGUUAUUCCCAGUUUAGAUUGUAGAAAAGAUUUUUGCUCCACUUAUUAGUAAUCGAGGGUACCAAGAUAGAUGGAUUUGGGGGGAGGAAAAGAAAGGAAGGUUCACAGUCCGUACAACCUAUCAUUUAGCUAGGCGUCGAGUAUUGGAUGAGCAUUCAAUGGUUUCUACCCUAGUUCCACUCUAUGGAAUAAGUUAUGGACCACCUAAGUCCUAGAGGAAUUUAAUAUAUGUGUGUGGAAAGCUGCUUCUAAUAUUCUACCUACACGAAGUCGAAUUAGUGAACGCGGUAUUGACAUCGAUACCCGAUGUCCAUUUUGUGAGGAAGAAGUAGAAUCACCUUUUCAUACACUUCGUGAUUAUGAACAUGCAACCUCUUUUCUACAAUUGGCAGUGAUCCCGCAAAUGCAGCGAUCCCGCAAAUGCAGCAAGCCUCACUUGUUCAUGAUUUGUUAGUGGCUUUCUCUUCUAUACACCAAAACUCUUUUAAUACUUUGAUGAUGAGUAUGUGGGCUAUUCAGUGUAAUCGAAAGGCAAAAGUUUGGGAGAAUGAGGUAAAACAAGCUUAUGAAGUGGUUCCUAUUACUUUGGGAUGGUGGGAAGACUUUAAGGCUACCCAUUUGUCGACAAGGCUGCCAAGACAACUUUCAGUAGCACAUUGCCAACGUCCCACUACAAGUUAUGUAAAACUAAAUGUAGAUGCCUCUUUUCAUCAUCUAGAUAACACUACUAGUCUAGGUGGAGUUUUCAUAGAUGAUACAGGGAGUUGUCUUGGUGUUUUCUCCAUCUUCCUAUAUCAGUCAAACUCUCCAAGCCAUGGAAAACUUCUGGCUCUCUUGGAAGGUGUCCGGUUGGCCAGAGAACAUGGUUUUGUUCCUCUUUUGGUGGAAACAAAUUGUCAGGUUUUGGUGGAUGCUGUCAACACGGGGUCUAUGGAUGGCUCAAGAGUUAGGAUUCCUACUGAAUGAUCUCAGGGAUAGUUUAUUACUUGCCUCUUCUGCAAGACUUAGCUUUGUCAGAAGAAAUUCUAAUAGAGUUGCACAUGCCUUAGCGCAGAUAGCGAUACAGAGUAGAACUAGUAUAUGUAUUUCAUCUGUCUCUCCUCAGCCUGUUGAGGAGCUUAUUUCUUCCGAAUGUAAUGAUCAUUGAUUAAUGAAGUUAUUUAUCAAUGAAGUUAUUCCAUUCUCUCAAAAAAAAAAAAAGUCUAAUAAAAUCCAACCGACAACGAUCUACAUAUAUGACCAUAACGAUCCAAUUUUUGCAUUUGAGACUGGAUCGGCAGAAAUGAUAGCCUUGUAAACAAAACAUUCAUGAUAAUUAGUCUUAUUUUGUUCAUCAUACUAGAGGGGGGAGUGGAGGAAGGGCAACAUAUGAAUUUCCUCUUAGGUCUCCUCCUUAUAACUCGACAUAAUUUAUAAAGGCUGCAAUGAAAUUCUUUUAGAAAACCUGCAAAAAAGUGUGUUUGGCAUUUUCAAUUGCAAAUCAAUUCAUCAUGUCUCAUAAAUUCUAUCUUUCCUCUUGACCCAAAUAAGUUAAGAGCAUUGGAACUGAGAGCUUGUAGACUAUCCUUGGCUACAAAAUUCCACGACCUACAAACAUCACUAAACCGCACAAAGUAUGAUAAUGCCGGUGAUCGAUGUAAAAUUGAAUCCAAGAGGUUAUCAGGCAUUUCUGCCGAAUCUAAGGAUCCCAUAACUUGACAUCUACAAUAAGAUGGAUCUAAUUGUAAGUUCUCAAAUAUGAGGUAUUAGGUACGUUCUCAAAUUUGAGGUUAGGUAGAAAGGGAGUACAACCUUUCUUCUUAAUUAGAGCCUUUGGAAGAUAUCCCAUCCCAAACAAGUCCUUCCUUUCUUGCUAUUCGUUCAUAUAUUUAGUCAUACAUAUUUAUGACACGUUUAUUAACUUAGAAUGAGAAAUAUUAUGAAUCGGAAUCAAUUAGAAUAAAAGAUGGAAUGAAUUGGUAUGAGAAUAUUUCGUUUCCAUUCAGCUGUUUAUUACUUACAGUACACUUCUUCUUCUUUGAACUAAUUUCAGUGUACUCUCAUCAACUUUAGGUCAAUCAUCAUGUUAAUCAUUUUUCUUUCAAUUUCAUCAAAAACACCCCUUAACUCUUAAUUUUCAUCAGCCAUGUCCAAGUCUCCGUUUUCCAUCCAAUUCAUCCGUCAAGUGACGACGUGGCAUCAAGAAGAAAGACAAAUUCCGAAAAUAACCUUUCUGACUAUUUUCCUCCCAUAUCGAUGCACAUCCUUGUUCCCAUCACAACCCCCUAACCUUAGUGAUUUUGGUGGGAUUGAAAACAACUUGUCUAUUUUGCCAUUUUUCUGUGGGCCCAACGACUUCAAAUUUACCGGCUCUGCGAUCAAUCGGGUUCUCUGGACACCUUCCGGCAGGCUCAUCACCGGCUCCCAAAACGGCGAGUUCACUCUUUGGGAUGGCCUCUCGUUUCGCCAUGAAUUGACCCUUGAGGAGGCUCAUGAUCAUUCCAUCAGGUCCAUGGUGUGGAGUUUUGAACAUGAAGACUGGAUCUUUGGUGAUGAUGGGGGAUGCAUCAAGUACUGGAAGAGCAACAUGACCAAUGUGCUUGUCAAAGAAUCUGCUCAGCAGGAAGCCGUUCGCGACUUGAGCUUCUGCAGGACUAAAUUUGAAGUUCUGCUCCUGUUCGGAUGAUACACUUGUUAAGGUCUGGGAUCAUGAAACGUGCCAAGAAGAGAACAGAUUGACUGGCCAUGGUUGGAAUGUCACCAGUGUCGACUGGCACCCUACAAAGUCUCUGGUAGCCUCUGGUGGGAAGGACAGUGUUGUCAAGCUGUGGGAUGCUAGGACAGCAAGAGAGCUUUGCUCUUUUUAUGAUCACAACAGUUGGGUGAACUCUGUCAAGUGGAACCAAAACGGUAACUGGCUCCUCACAGCUUCCAAAGAUCGGCUCAUCAAGCUUUUAUGACAUAAGGUCUAUGAAGGAGCUCGAAUCAUUCCGCGGCCAUGGCAACCAAGUCACUGCUCUAGCGUGGCAUCCUUUAGAUGAAUGCUAUUUUGUCAGUGGGGGUGGUGAUGGAUCCAUCUUUCAUUGGCUUGUUGGGGAUCAAACUCCCCAGGUUGAAGUUCCUAAUGCACACACUAGCAACGACUAUAAUAACAGUGUGUGGGAUCUGCAGUGGCAUCCUAUGGGUCAUAUGCUUUGCAGUGGCAGCAAUGAUCGCACUACUAAGUUUUGGUGUAAAAGUAGACCUGGAGAUGAACCUAAUAUGAAUGAGAAUCAAAGUGUUGGUGUUCCAAAUUCUGCUUUUGCUGCUCCCAUGUCCUGCAAUUUUCCUUUUACAUUGAAUAAAGGACUAUCAUCACUUGCUUCUAAGAAAGAAGGAUUCAUUAUUCCAGGUCUUGGAAUUGCUAUCUAAAACAAACAUAAUUAAUCUUUGCCAUUGACAAAGAAGCAAGAAAAAAAGUAAUCACCUUGGCCACUUCAAACAAGAAGAUACAAAGAGAGAAAACCAAAUUAAUCACAUUGGCUACAUGCCUACAUCACACUAGAAAAUACCACAACAAAAAAAAAAAAAAAAAAAAAAAAACGUACCGGUGGGGAUUCUUGAACUACGAGUGGCCUUGAUCCCUCCUAAAGGGUAUGUAGACAACCCAUUCAAAUGUCCGGGUGCAGCNNNNNNNNNNNNNNNNNNNNAAAAAANAAAAAAAAACACACACCCAUUUUGUUACUUUCUUUCAUAUGAAAUCAAAGGGUCUUUCCCGUUAAAAUAAGGGGUUGUAAUUGAGAGAUAUUUUCAUCUUGAAUUGUUCGAACAUAAAAAAAAGACCAAAUGUUCCAUACCAAUGAACAGUUUCCAGCCAAAAGAGACCAACUUCAUUUUCUUCACUACAAGAAAACUGACUGUUCAAUCAACUGUCUGAAAAAUAAAAUUUGCCAUUUUCAAAGGUCCCCAGAUGCCUUCAGUUAAUCUAUGAUCUAACUAGUGGUUUCCCCUCCAAGCAUAGAGCAAGAAGGCAAUGCUGACGCAUUCUGAUACUCAGAGAAAUCUUUACUUCCAGAAGAUUAUAGGAUUGGAUCAGCUAGUACCCACAUUUCCAAAGUCAACUCAAGGGAACAAUGAUUUAGCCACUCCAAAACAGUAGCAUGAACAUUAUUCCAACUAAAGCAUGUUUGAUCUAAAACAUGAUUAAACUGUAUAACACUUCUUACUUCUAACAUAGGCACAAUCUCUACACAGGUGAAUGGUUGAUUCUCCAAGAGCAAAAACGGCCGACCGGUUCUUCAGUGGUUCCCUUGCUCUUGAAAAUAGACUUGUAUAUUUCUCGUAUCCACGCCAAUUAAGUCGUGGCAAAAUCCAACUGUAGUUUCUCAAAUGCCUGAAUAUAAGCAUGGAAAUUUGCACUUAGCACCUUGUUCAUUGUGUCGAUGUAUGCUCCACGAACUUCAAUGUAUACCUCCUUUCCAUGUUCCUUGAGGAAUGAAAUAACAUACUUGUACUUUAGGAGAACAUUCUGUUGAAGAAUCUGGAUAUUUGUUUUAGGUUUUCUCAAUGCAUAAAGCUUCUGAACAAUGAAGUCAAACACCUUGGAAACUGCUUUCUGUCUAUGUUUUUCGAGCUCGGGCUGAACAUCUUUGAGAGCUUUUGUAGAUUUAACCAUAAGAUCCGCUUCAACAAACUUCAGCUUCUUGCCAAGACUUUCAAGACUCUAGAGUUCUCAUAUAUUCAUCGUUCACCUCGCCAUCACCAAUUAUGUUUACCACCCUUGGAGGGAUUAUAAUGUCUUCGACAAAUUUUGCCAAAUUUGACUCAGCCACCUUGCGAUUCUUCAACUUUAAGCCCAUAUCCAUAGAUUUCUCCUGGAGAAUUUUGAUGUCGGAACUUAUUGAACCCAUCUCUGCCUGAAAUCCACUGAGUAGAGUUUCCAUCUGCGAAGAGAUAUACUAGUUUAUCACUUUUUUUUUAUUUGAACUGUCAGACUUUAUUGAAAAAAGAAGUAUCAAUUACAUAUGAAAAGUGUUAAAGUGAGAACAGUGCUACGAACUCAAAUGAAACAAUUUGGAUUUGGAUGACUUAAUCAUCUUAUUCAACAAUCUUGGCUUUAAAUAGCCUUACAUCUGAAACUGAACUCCUACAUAUCUGCUAUUGUAUAGCAGCACAACUAACCAACUUGAACGAAACAACCCUAUUAAACAGACUCCUAAAGUCUAGGAUUUAUUGACUAAAGACCAAGUAAACAAGGACUCAGUAAACCCUAAGCCCUGAAAAUAUGAAACCACCUCCUUCAUUCCCUCCCUUAAACUAACCUGAGUUAACAGUUAGUUUACUUGAUGCUGCACAAACACCGAGGUUCAGCUCGAAGCUUUCGAAAACGAUCCAGCUUUAAAGGCUUUGUAAGAAUAUCAGCAAUUUGUUCUCCUGUUCCACAAUGUUCCAAUACGAUCACUCCAUCUUUAACCAAGUCUCUCAAAAAAUGGAAACGCACAUCAAUAUGCUUGCAUCUUCCAUGAAACACAGGAUUUCUUGACAACUUGAUUGCUGAAGCAUUGUCACACAGAAGUGUUGUGCCUCCAUCCAACUUGUAUCCUAGCUCCUCUAGGACUCUUCUCAUCCAAAUAGCCUGACAUGCACAUGAUGCAGCUGCAAUGUAUUCGGCCUCUGUUGUUGAUAAAGUAACAAUGGCUUGUUUCUUUGAUGACCAAGCUACUGCUCCACUGCUCAGCAGAAACAAAUAACCAGAAGUGCUCUUUCUUCUAUCAACAUCCCCUGCAUAAUCACUGUCAGUAUAAACUCUCAAUCCUGCAGCCCCAUCACUUGCAUCUUCCCCAAAAACCUUAUGUCCUUCAUUUUCACUUCGACUGUACCAUAUGCCGUAGUCCAGUGUUCCUUUCAAAUACCUCAAAACUCUCUUGGCUGCCUUGAAGUGCAUUUGUGUAGGUCUGGACAUGAAACGACUUAACAAGCUAACCACCAACUGCAAAUCUGGUCUAGUAGAAGUAAGAUACAUCAAGCUUCUGACCAUUUGCUUGUAGAGUGUCUCAUCCAUCCUUUCGCCUUCUUCAUCACUGCUCAAUUUACUACCUGGAACAAUCAGAUUAUGAACUGGAUUAUAUUCUUCCAUCCCAAAGCGUCGUAAAACCUCCACUGCAUACUUGUACUGACAAAUAUGAAUUCCAUCUUGCUUCUGCAUUACUUUUAUGCCAAGAAAGAAUCUCAUCUUUCCUAGAUCAGUCAUAUCAAACUCCUUUUGCCUUGAGCUCUUAAAAUCUUCCAUCAUUAAAGAAUCAUUACCAGUAUAUAUAAGAUCAUCGACAUAAACACUGAUAAUGAGAACUUUACCUCCACUGCCUCUCUUGAUAAACAAAGUCUGCUCAUUCUGACUUCUCUGAAAACCUUCAUUGACAAAGUAAGACUCAAUACGACUAAACCAAGCUCUAGGUGCUUGUUUUUGUCCAUAUAAAGCCUUAUGAAGCUUGUACACCUUGUGUUCACUGCCUUUGAUCACAUAGCCCUUGUUGUUCAACAUAAACAUCUUCCUGCAAUGCUCCAUGUAAGAAGGCCGAUUUAACAUCAAGCUGAAAUAUCUUCCAGCCAUUUUGAGCAGCUUUAGCAAUGACCAUUCUCACAGUAUCCAUCCGAGCCACUGGAGCAAACACUUCUGUAAAAUCUAUCCCAUGCUCCUGGGAGUAACCUUUUGCCACCAAACGAGCUUUAAGCUUGUCUACUUUUCCACGUUCAUUCAGCUUUGUUUUAUAAAUCCAUUUGAUACCAAUGCAUUUAGCUCCCUUUGGUAACUCAGUAAGCUUCCAAGUCAGGUUCCUUUCAAUUGCUCUUAUUUCAUCAUCCAUGGCUUGUUUCCAUUCCUCACUCUUCUCUGCCUCUUCAAAGGUUGAAGGAUCACAAUUGUCUAGUUCCACCAUAUUGAGCUCCAUCAUGUUUGCCUCCUCUUCAGUUAGUUCUGAAAGCUCCACUCUGGUAACGUAGUCAUUAAGAUAAGGCUGCGGCCUUCGUACUCGUCCAUCCCUUGCUUCUGCAACAUUAGUUCCAUUGCCUAUGUUUCCUCUCAACAACCCUUCUUCUCUCUCUUGUGCAUCACUACUGUUUUCUCUCAAAUCCCCUUCUACUCUCACUCUUGUGUUUCCCUAUGUUUCAUCACCAUUCCCAUUCUCACUCUCAUCAUCUCCCUCUUCACUGUUUUCAUCAUCACUCCAAACCAAUUCUUCCCCAAUAUCAUAAUUCUCUCCCCAAUCCCAACUUUUUUCUUCCUCAAACACCACAUCUCUACUCACUACCACUUUUUUGUUCUUCGGAUCAAAUAAUUUGUAAGCUUUAGACUCCUCACUCACCCCUAUAAGAACACAAGGAAAGCUUUUGUCAUCAAGUUUACCUCGCUUAGCUUCUGGUAUGUGAACAUGACCUAUGCAGCCCCAAACUCGAAAGUGUUCCACAGAAGGAUUGACUCCAUUCCAUGCCUCCCUUGGUGUUACAUCCUUGACAGCUAAGGUAGGUCAUCUGUUCAGAACAUAAAACGUCCACUUCACAGCCUCAGGCCAGAAACUUUUAGGAACUUUCUUUGCUGACAACAUGGAUCUCACCAUAUUCAUGACUGUCCGAUUCUUGCGCUCAGCGACACCGUUUUGCUGUGGCGUGUAGGCAGUUGUAAGUUGUCUCUGGAUUCCAUGCUCUUUUCAAAAAUCUUUGAAAGCAUUAGAGUUGAAUUCUCCUCCUCUAUCUGUUCUCAAGCACUUAAUCAGCUUCCCUGUUUCUUUCUCGACAAGACUCUUGAACAACUUGAAACAACUUAGGGCUUCUGACUUCUCAACAAGUAGAUACACCCAUGCUUUACGACUGAAAUCAUCUAUAAAGCACAAAGUAUACCUUUUCCCACUGUUAGAAGCAGGCGUGAUCGGACCACAUAUGUCUGAGUGAAUAAGCUCCAAGACUUCUCUUGCUCUCCACGAACUCUGCUUAGGAAUUGGAUUCCUGUGUUGCUUGCCAACUAAGCAAUCUGUGCAGGUGAUGUUUGAUGCUUCAAACUGAGGUAAGUCACGUACUAUCUUCUUAUCUUGCAGUGUCUUCAAACCUUUAUAGCUUAGAUGACCAUAUCGUUCAUGCCAAAGCUGUGACAAGUUCAUGGAACUCGUAUGCAAGCAGCUGACAGGUUGCAUACUCAAGGAGGACUGAACUUGUGUUAUCAAUACAAACAUCAUGUUAGCACUCAUCACACUUUGAACUAGUAAACCUCUUUCUGGAUGAAAGAUUUUACACUCCACCUUGAAUCAGAAUGGCCAAACCCUUUUCUUGAAGUUUCCCUAUGCUCAAAAGAUUAUUCUUGAGUUCGGGUACAUAGUACACAUCACUUAUCACAAAAGCAACUCCCUUCAUAGUCAGUCUGACACUCCCCUUUCCGGCUACUUGCAUUCUGGUAUUGUUUCCAAGCUUAACUGAAUGAUUGAACUUAUCAUUUAAGCUAGAAAACAUACUCUUGUCUCCACACAUGUGAUUAGAACAUCCUGAAUCCAAGAACCAGACAUCACCCCUUUCUGCUUCACAUUCUUCCACCAAAGACAUCAACAGUAGCUCUUCAGUUUCAUCCAGUUCAGCAUAGUUAGCUUCCUUGUUCCACUUUGGACAUUCAUACUGAAAAUGACCGAGAUUAUGACAUUUAAUUUGAAGCAUUCCACAGCAGCUUUGUUGAACAUCUGUCUGCCUCGGCCUUGUCCUCUACCUCUCAUGCUUGCUCUUCCACGGCCUCUUACUCCAAAUCUGUCCUCAUGACUCAUUUUCAAAACUUGAUUUUCUCCUUUGUCAUGCCUCUGAAACUUCUGCUCAUGAAUUACAAGUGAGCUUUGUAGUUCAUCAAUUGAGAUGGACUCAGUGUUCUUGGAUUCUUCUAUGGAUAUCACAACGUAUGUGAAUCUUUCUGUGAGAGUUCUGAGAACCUUUUCCACCACCUUUGACUCCGGCAUCUCCUCUCCAUUGCUUCUCAUCUUAUUCGUUAUUGCCAUAACUCGAACAAAAUACUCCGAGAUGCUCUCACUAUUCUUCAUCUCCAGUACUUCAAAAUCCCUCCUUAAUUUUUGAAGGAUUGAUUUUUUGACACGAUAAUUCCCUACAAACUUGAUCUUCAUGGACUCCCACACAAUCUUAGCUGUGCGUCUAUCAAGUAUCUGCUCAAAGGUCACUCGAUCAAUUGCUUGAAAGAGAUACCUCUUAACUUUAUGAUCUUUGGCUCUUGCAUCUUCGAGCUGCUCCCUCUGUGCCUCAGUGAGCAGUGCUCCAGCAGUUGGCUCGUCAAAGCCAUUCUCCACCAAACUCCAUAGCCCUUUUGAUUUCAACAGAUUCUCCAUCAGCUCACUCCAAUAAUCAUAGUAGUGACCAUCGAAGAGCGGAACUUUCAUCUUCUCUUCACUCAUCUUUCUGUGUAUCACUCAAGAACGCUGCUGCUUCUUUUUCUCAGGCCCAGUGGGGGCUCUGAUACCAGAUUGUUAAAGUGAGAACAGUGCUACGAACUCAAAUGAAACAAUUUGGAUUUGGAUGACUUAAUCAUCUUAUUCAACAAUCUUGGCUUUAAAUAGCCUUACAUCUGAAACUGAACUCCUACAUAUCUGCUAUUGUAUAGCAGCACAACUAACCAACUUGAACGAAACAACCCUAUUAAACAGACUCCUAUAGUCUAGGAUUUAUUGACUAAAGACCAAGUAAACAAGGACUCAGUAACCCUAAGCCCUGAAAAUACGAAACCACCUCCUUCAAAAAGUAUCAGCUGCAAGAGCAGUUAGAAGGAAGAGAGGUGCAGUAAAAUAAAAGGUCAUUUGUGAGAGAUGUCUAGAGUGAGCAGCCAUUAGAUGGGCUGCUGUGUUAGUACUGUGUUUUGCAUGUGCCAUCUGUAUAGGUCUAUCACCCUGCAGCAGGAGACCUACAUCUUCGUACAACCUUCCCAGCACAGAAAAAUUACCAACUUGCUUAUUAAUGAGUUGGAGAGAAACCAAUUGCGCAUCAGUUUCUAUCACUGCAGGAGUGAAAUUGUUGGCUAGCACAAACUCUAUAGCUUGUUUACAAGCUAAUAUUUCCACAUGCUCAACUGACAAGAUACCUGAUAAUCCUAGUUUAUCACUUUCUUCAAUAUAAUCCUGGAUGAUCGAGUCCAGUUCAACUUUUCGUUUGUUGUUCUCAACCCCCUUUAGUUUCGUACCCUUAAGGCAAAAUAUUCGCAACAUCGUAAAUCAAAUUUAAGUGAUAAGUUUGUAAAUAAAAUAAAAAUGUAUGAAUAAGAAAAUAAAUAGGAUGUGUUAAUAGCAAAAAAGGGUGUGCUAAUAGCAAUAUCCUAGAUAUAUUGGAGUUAAAUGUAAUACUAUAAAGUAAGAAAAUAUGUAAUCCAUAUUAUACACGUAAUAAAUUUACAACUCUUGGAACGAAUAGGAAAACAACCUUUUUUGUUAACCAAUAAAAAAAACUUUGAACGUCACCAAUUCCAUACUGCUACCUCUCUUUAUUUGGUAAAUAUAUUAUCUUGUUAAUUUCUCAAAAACAAAUCUUUAUUACCCUGUCAAAAAUAAGAAAAAGUACAAUAAUAGUUACAACAAGAAAAUAAAAUAGUAUGCCUUCUUACUUCCAGCAAUGAAAGGUCGCCUGGUACCGCCACGGCGCCACCAUAGGAGGAUUAUUGCACCCGCUGCCCUUUCACCAUACAAACAUCCCUCUUUUCUGGCUCUUUCAUUAAAAAAUUCCACUAUGAAUUUCAGUUACUCUCCCUAUGGGGGACCCUAAAGGUAAAUCUACCAACCUCCUCAGGUCAUCCGGGCAUCUGGGGUUUAAGCCUAAAAGAACUACCACAGCAUCAUUAAAAUGUGAUGAUAAGUUAUAUCUACCUGACUAAGAGCAUAUGCAGUUUAACAAAACUAGCAGAGUUGGAGAAUCCUCAGUUCAUAGCCAAUUUAUCACAUAAAGAUUGAUAAGCUGUGCUGCAAUGCUUGAACUUUUCCUCUGCAGCAGCCUGCAGUACCACAAGUAAAUUCCAAACUACUUGAGUCAGGUGCAAACAAUACCCCAAAAUUUCCGCUUACAACUGGUAAAUUAGGACAACUUGUAAGUUCUAAAAUAACAAGGCAAUUCAAUAUAUAACCGUAAUGAAUGGUCAGAGCAUGCUGAUACCUUGGAAGAGCCCUGGUGACGAUCAGGAUGCCAUUUCAGUGCACAGGUUCGAUAUCUGAAAUUGUGAAAGUGUGAAGGAUUAGAUGGUGUGGAAAGACCAACAUAUGUGAGUGGACAAGCGUGAGCAAGUGGUAAAACAAGGAGAUUCUGCUAAAAAAACUCACGCAUUUUUGACAUCUUCAAGUUUCAGAGGGCCUGCAGCACUCAAUCCAAGGGCCAACCUCUCCUCUGACUCGGAAUUGUCAGAAUCAGAUUCAUAUCGUUCUUCAUUACGAUGUCUCCAACUCCAAGAUUUUCCAGAGUGAUUAGAGUAAUAUGAAGAGCUCCUCUGCUGUGAAUCGUCUUCAUUGACGAAUGACCAGUAAACGAAUCCACUCCCACCAAACCUGGACUGGAAAAUGGUCUCUAAAUCUACAUAAUCUUCACAAAAGUCGAAACCUCCUGACAUAGUGUUCCAAAUGCAGUUAGAUUAUAUGCAACUUCAAGGAUGAUGCAAAGUAAUCAAGACAUAAAUGCAUCAAUUAUGGAAGAAUAUAAGUACCUAUUUAUAACCCUAACAUAUAAGAGAUGGUCCACUAAGAAAACCCCCAACAAAAGUACAUCCAGUGGUCUUCGUCGACCAAAAGCGCACUUAAGCCCACAUGAAAACAUUUUCCCACUAUGCAAUGUUCUUAUAAGAUUUGGCGAAAGAUGUUUCCUAAAUAAAACCAUGAGAAGACCCGAGUGGACAUAGAAGUCUUAGCUAUUCUUUUACUGCAUGAAUACUUACUUCUGCCCCAGCUGGAGGCCCCUUGAUUGCCUCCCCAUUUCUUUUUGGGGCCCUUGGCUGAGUAUUGCUUUUUAAACCAUGAAGUGCCUCUACUAGAAGAUGGCUCAUUCAAAUCAUAGGGAUUUUGCCAUUUCUGCAGCAUUUAAAAGAUAUACAGAAGACGAUCAAAAAACAGAAAGAUGAGAAGUUUGCAAACAGUCACUAAUUAAUCAUCAAUGCAUAAAUAAGAAGUGACCAGGACAAUAUUAAAAAAAAAAAAAAAAAGAGCAAUCCAUGAGGAUAAGCAAAAGCGAUGAAAAGAAGCCAAACUAUAUAGAAACAUGUUAAAGAAGAGACAAUCUAAGAAGAAAAAGCCGAAACUUCAAGAAUAAUCUAGCACAAUUGAAAAUUGAAUCAUGUCUGGAACAAGAUUUGACAAGGCCCCCAAUCUAAAAGCUUAACAAUGAAUGCAAUAAAGCAACAGAUACUCUACUGAUUACAAUAUGAGAAAAGGUAAUAACAAAGAUGGGGAACCUGAAAUAGGAAGUUUGCAUAAUCAUUGACAUUGCGCAAUAAUGUUUGCUUUCCAUGUAUCCUUCUGGACCUUUUUGAAUAGUUGUCGUUUCUCUGGAAAUAAGCAGUUAUAAGUACUUAACAUAAUUUUCAAUCACUAUCAGAAAGAAGAGAAUCUUAGGUAUUGCAAAUCCAAAGGAAAAAAACAAACAUAAAUGAACCUAAUAAAAAUUUCAGACAUCCCAUAUAUCUAAAGAAGAAAAAGAAAUAUCCGCAACUUAAGCAUAAUGACAGUGACCUGAUAAUCAGAAAUAUAUGAAAGAUUAACACAAUGUUUUUAUGAAACCUACUGUUGCUAACAGCCUACAAAAUUUCCAAGUAGUAACUGAGGAAAAGUAACAUUCUAACAAAGAGCGCAAUACAAGAAGCUAGAGAUUUGAAGGACCAGCUUGGUUGAGCUGCCAGCUAUUAUGUGAUUAAAGAGUGAGGGGAAAUGUCAUAGUGUGUGAUGUUAUGUUGGUUGCAGGAUGUUCAUUGAGCCAGUCACCUCUUAUAAACCAAGCAGUUAGGAUCAAUGGUAACUUCAGUUACCCAUCUACAAAAAUCCUAAUAUCUCUGGAUUCACUACCUAAUAUAAGAAAUUUCCAAAACAUGUUUAGAAAUACAUAUUAUAUUAGCAAACAAAAUCCUGAAAAGAACUCUAGCAAGAUAUUAGUAUGAUGAAAAACAUUAGAAGAUGGAGAUGGAAGGAGAGGAAACUGACUUUACUAGAGAAGAUGAUGGAUGACAGAAGAUUUUAGUUUGAAAUGCCCGACUUUAUAUGAGGAUAACUAAAAGGAUUAGGAUUGUCACAAGUGUAAUGUGAUAAAUGUCUUGAUUAAGGAUAACACUAUAUCUACUACCUGACCAGGAUUAUCAAUUUAUAAUUAUCAAAGUUCUUUUGAGUAAAAAAACUACCCUGGAUAGUAACUAAUAUGUGCUGCUGGUCUCUAGAACGAACAAAAUACAUCACAGUUGCCAAGUAAAAAUUAAAAGUGAUGACUGAUAGUUUGUCAAUGCAAUCCACAGGUUUACCAUCAAAUAAGAAAGCUAAUAGACACAUAAUUUAAAUUAUCUCGUUGAAAACGAGGAUUUCAUAUUUGAGUUUGACAACACUGAAGAAACUUAUAGAGUCCCUUCAACAUAGCACCACAAUCUCUUAACACUCCACACAAUGUAGCACUAUAGGGGGAGGAUAGAAAAAUAAAAAAGAAUACAAGGUAUCUAGAAAGUCAUAUUUACAUCACAUAAUACAGAUGUAUCCAUACUCUUGAUAUCAAAAUAACAUUGAUGGAUAACUUUGAGUGUUCACUCAACGUCAUUGUUUAGUUAAUUUCCAACUAACUCAAAGUGCGAGGUAUACAUUACUGAAUGUAGAACCUAAUGAGGCAGAAAUGUGGUUGAACUUUACUGGUUUAAGAAAGCUUGAACUUUUACCAUAAAACUUAAACCCAUUCGAGAUAAAAUGCAGAAAGUCAAUAAACUUAUCUUCGACCCAGAAGCACCUAAGAAACCCACGUUCCCCUCUAGUAGAUUCCCAAUACAAAAUCAUUACUUUUCCACUCCCACAUGAUUUUCAUAGCCAAACCAAGAACAGCAACCAACACAAUGCCAAUAUUUCUAGAUUCUCAUCUUAAACCAUACAAUUGUGGCAUACCCAAAUCGCCAAAAAGGCUUAAACUUUAGCAGAUAUCACUAGCCUUAAACAAAAUGGAAAGUGACCCGGAAAUAUAUAAACGUAGAUGAAUACAGAGAGAGAGGCUUACGGGUGAUUCCCAGUAGUUGUUGCGUCUUUUACGAUCCAAAACGGUGGUUGAGUGAAAGAGGACACUCCUCACAUAAACGGAGUAGUUCAGCUUUGAAUUUAAGAGAGCCGUUUUCAUGGCGCUAUUCAUUUUUUUUUUUUUUGUUUCUCUUCUGAGAAUUGAGGAGAGGCUCAGAGAGAGCGAGAAGGAGGAAGUAGCAGAGGUGAAAGCCCCACGGCCCUGAAGCUACGCUUACGCUAUGCCGACUGUUGUUGGGAAACCAGAUGACCCGACCCGGAAGAUGUUAAGUUGGGACUUGGGGGAUUACAUAUUGGGUUUGUACUUUCCAUGCCACAAGUUUGGGUUGGGUUUUGUUUCUAUGACUUUCUCAUGUGAUGGCACCAAAGGGGAAAAGUAGUGAAAGACUGAAAACGAUUUGAAGACAUGUUUUCAUCGUUCGGUAUGUUUACUUAUUUAGAAUAAAAUUCAUCAGGAAUAAGAGAUAAAAAGAAUGAGAGACAAAAUAAAAUAAUAUGUGGAGCUUUCUAUUUCAUUGAGCCGUUUACUUACUAUAUAGAAUUAGAAUAGAAAUGUAAUUGAAUAUGAUUUUAAUUACUAAAAUACUCAUGAAAAAGACAGCUACAUAUUUCAAUCACUACCAACACAUUUUAAUUACUACUAUCAGCUCUACUUAUCGCCUCAUUAAUAAGAAGUCAUGCUCCAGCUGUCCAAGAAGUUUGGACUCUAUUAGAUGGAUUCCUCCAGCUCCUAACUGGUUUAAGUUGAACUUUGAUGGCUCAGUAUCUUCCAACUGAUCGGUUGCUGGUUUUAUUAUAAGAGAUUCUUCUGGCUCCCCCAUUGUAUCAGGUGCAUGGAAGCUUCACAACUUCUUAGUUCCACUAUCUAAAUGUAUUGCUCUAAGAGAUGGGCUCCUCGCUGCUAAAAGACGCAAUUGUCAUCAAAUUGAAGUAGAAGGAGACUCGUUCCUCAUCAUCAAUUAUGUCAAAAGAGUUAAAUAAGGAACUUCACACGUUAAUUUCAAAACGAAGCUUCGCUCUGAAUAAGAACUAUAUAUAUAUAUAUAAANNNNNNNNNNNNNNNNNNNNNNNNNNNNNNNNNNNNNNNNNNNNNNNNNNNNNNNNNNNNNNNNNNNNNNNNNNNNNNNNNNNNNNNNNNNNNNNNNNNNNNNNNNNNNNNNNNNNNNNNNNNNNNNNNNNNNNNNNNNNNNNNNNNNNNNNNNNNNNNNNNNNNNNNNNNNNNNNNNNNNNNNNNNNNNNNNNNNNNNNNNNNNNNNNNNNNNNNNNNNNNNNNNNNNNNNNNNNNNNNNNNNNNNNNNNNNNNNNNNNNNNNNNNNNNNNNNNNNNNNNNNNNNNNNNNNNNNNNNNNNNNNNNNNNNNNNNNNNNNNNNNNNNNNNNNNNNNNNNNNNNNNNNNNNNNNNNNNNNNNNNNNNNNNNNNNNNNNNNNNNNNNNNNNNNNNNNNNNNNNNNNNNNNNNNNNNNNNNNNNNNNNNNNNNNNNNNNNNNNNNNNNNNNNNNNNNNNNNNNNNNNNNNNNNNNNNNNNNNNNNNNNNNNNNNNNNNNNNNNNNNNNNNNNNNNNNNNNNNNNNNNNNNNNNNNNNNNNNNNNNNNNNNNNNNNNNNNNNNNNNNNNNNNNNNNNNNNNNNNNNNNNNNNNNNNNNNNNNNNNNNNNNNNNNNNNNNNNNNNNNNNNNNNNNNNNNNNNNNNNNNNNNNNNNNNNNNNNNNNNNNNNNNNNNNNNNNNNNNNNNNNNNNNNNNNNNNNNNNNNNNNNNNNNNNNNNNNNNNAUAUAUAUAUAUAUAUAUAUAUAUAUAGAGCUUCUCAGCUGCGGACGUCCGCAUUUAUUCUUACGGUGCGGAUUUUCACUUUACACUCACUUUUCAAUCGAAUUUUCACAUCUCCACCGUCUAGUAUUUAGAUACUAAUGUAUAAAUCAUCUCUACAAAAUUUCAGCCAAUUUGGUAAUCAUUAAGGCACUCAAAACUCCGUUUUUCUGUUAUAAACAUGAACUGUUCAAGUUCGACAGAAUUAUGUUCAUCCAUUGUUUUAAUCUAGUUUGAGUGUCUUACCGAUAAUCAAAUUGGCUGAAAUUUUACAGAGAUGAUCUAUACAUUAGUAUCUAAAGNNNNNNNNNNNNNNNNNNNNNNNNNNNNNNNNNNNNNNNNNNNNNNNNNNNNNNNNNNNNNNNNNNNNNNNNNNNNNNNNNNNNNNNNNNNNNNNNNNNNNNNNNNNNNNNNNNNNNNNNNNNNNNNNNNNNNNNNNNNNNNNNNNNNNNNNNNNNNNNNNNNNNNNNNNNNNNNNNNNNNNNNNNNNNNNNNNNNNNNNNNNNNNNNNNNNNNNNNNNNNNNNNNNNNNNNNNNNNNNNNNNNNNNNNNNNNNNNNNNNNNNNNNNNNNNNNNNNNNNNNNNNNAAUCUUUUAUUAUUAUUUCUUGUCAUUUGAUUACUCUUUGAUAAAAUUGUUGUUUUUCUUGCUCAUCAAAAUAUCAAUGGAAGACUCUUGAUGCUGUUAUUGGUGAUAUCACUAUAACAGCAGACCGAUUCAGCGUAGUGGAAUACACACAGCCAUAUAUCGAGUCUCCUUUGGUACUAAUAGUUCCAGGGAAAGCUGAGGAUUUGGAAUGGACGUUAGUAAAACCUUUCUCCGGGAAAAUGUGGACAGCAAGUGGUGGCAUAUUAGCCUACACUAUCUUCAUCAUAUGGUUUCUGGAGCGCUCAGUUAAUCCAAAAUUCAGCGGUCCAUUGAAGAAUCAGAUUGGCAGAGCAAUUUGGUUCGCCUUCACCUCUUUGUUCUUUUCUCACAGUAUGUAUAAUUCAAAGAUUUCAAGCCGCAAUCCUUAUUAUGUGAACAAUGUAGUUUAACAUAUGGUUGCAUUAUGCAGGAGAGAGACUCUAUAACAAAUUAACUAAAGUAGUUGUUCUAGUGUGGCUGUUUGUUGUAUUGAUCCUGGUCACAAGCUACACUGCUAAUCUCUCUUCAAUCCUGACGAUUCAACGAUUGAAACCGAAUGUAUCAGACAUUGAAACGCUAAAGAGAACCAACUCUAAAGUUGGCUUGAAUACGCAUUCGUUUGUCGUCAAUUACUUGGUGACUGUACUUGGAUUCAAGCCAGAAAACCUCAUCAAAAUAGACAGUGAAUCCGACUACAUAGAGGCGUUCGAAAACAGAAGUAUAUCUGCUGCAUUGCUUGAGUUCCCAUAUGCGAAAGUAUUUAUGAACCAGUACUGCAAGGGAUAUACUGCGACCACACUCUCCUAUAGAUUUGGAGGGCUAGGCUUUGUGAGUAGUAACUAAUUAAAUCUUUUCUGUUCUGCUUUGUUUUCUGCCUUUCUAAAAGAGAGACUAUACUAAGUCUAAACUAGGACAAAUAAAAACAUAUAUAUUGAUAAUCAAUGAAGCUAAUAAAAUUAGUACGUUGCAGAUAUUUCAGAAAGACUCUCCAAUUGCCCGGGAUUUCACCAAGGUCAUUUUAGAGUUAUUGGAGGAGGGAAAAAUGAUGUCACUUGAAGAUGCUUGGUUGACACCAAAUCGUGGGUGUCCAAACAAUUCAACUUCAGAUGGACCAGAAAGUUUGAAGGUCAAGAAUUUUGUAGGACUUUAUGUAAUCUAUGUUGCUACUUCCACCAUUUGCUUUCUGUUAUCCUUAACUAUCUUGCUCAAGCAGUUUCAACAACACCAGGAUGCUUACCAAGGCAAUGCAAGUGAUGAAAGUGUUUGGAACAGAACACUUAGAAUGGCAAGAUUCGUAUAUAAUAGAGAGUUCAAUGUUCCAAGUAGCAGAACUGCAAGUUUUGUUGAUGUGCUGGAAAUGACUUCCUCCCAAUGGGAGCACGCAACCACUUCCACCCCUCUUGGAGCAUCUUCUUCAGGCCUCUACCCCCGCACAAACUAGUCCACCACAUGAAUAAAUAGAACUAUUCUAUUUAUUCGAUACGGUUGUGUGUGCAUGUGUGUAUAUACGAGUACUGUAUGUGUGUAUAACUGUAUNNNNNNNNNNNNNNNNNNNNNNNNNNNNNNNNNNNNNNNNNNNNNNNNNNNNNNNNNNNNNNNNNNNNNNNNNNNNNNNNNNNNNNNNNNNNNNNNNNNNNNNNNNNNNNNNNNNNNNNNNNNNNNNNNNNNNNNNNNNNNNNNNNNNNNNNNNNNNNNNNNNNNNNNNNNNNNNNNNNNNNNNNNNNNNNNNNNNCAUGGCAAGAGCGGCCAUGAAUGAUAUGAAACUCCACGGGGAAGCAAAAUAAGUGCUGAAGAGGAGCGUUGUAUAUCUUUGAACCCGCACCCUCAGAAAUACUUUGAGUUUUCUCAGAUGAAACCAGGAGGUACAAUAUUCAUUCACCUCAUCGCACAAGGUUCUAAAAUGGAAUUCCUUGACAACAACUUCAUCUAGUAUACCUUUGAAUAUUUGAGCCAAAUAUUCCUCUUCACCUCCAAUCCAGUGGUGAUAUUUCGUUAUCCCCUUCCUUAGAAGCAGAUUGCUAUCUCGUGAGGAACCGAUGAGACCCUUCAUGAGGCAGGCAUAUGAUGUAACCGCUUGCGUACUAUUGAGACUGCAUUGCUCAUAAUUAAGCAAUCAGGUUCAUCAACAAUGAACUCGUUGUUUCUUGAAUAAUCAGUGGUGGAAUUCUGAUUUUUCCCUCACUGAAAGUUAUGUCCAGCAACUGGCCCUGCUUGGAGCCAAUGUCAAACUCGACUCCAGACUCCAAAAGUUCAGAAGCACUAUAAUUGAAUCCCCAUACUUUAUUCUUUUGGAUUGCCCUAAGACGCUGCUCCUCAGGGAUCAAAUCCACAUUGAGCCUCAUAGACAAGUCAGUAGUUUUGGUUGGGAGGAAAUAGAACUUGUGCAAGAUAUCCAGCAAGUGCUUGUAAUCUUGGGAGUCAUGUCUCCGCUCUGUUACUAUGCUUCCCUUGAGGCUCACUGGUUGAAAGAAGUGAAGAGCAAGACAAUAUGGCGGAGGCAAAUCAUUGUCGAUAAGUGUCUGAUGACCACUAAUAGCAUCAUACAAAUCAAGUAUAAUACAUAAGGGGAUUUGGUUUUCAAGCAAUGCCAGAUCAUGACGUAUAUCUGCGAUCAUCCAAGCACUUUCUAGAAUUGGAUCAGGUUCAUGGCCUUCUAACUUCCUGUCCAUGUAUAGGUAAAACCUGAUGAGAAGUUCCAAUAUGAAGCAACCAUCGACCAACAUUAUUUCUGCUAGUUCCUCCUGAUUAAUGUUGCUCAUGUCUUCAACGUAACUUGCACAAACCAAUGCAUCCGAAUCAUAGACAGCAGUUGCCCAUUCUCUCAUGAAUUCAGAAGAUACUCGUGAUCCAAAGCUGAAAUUUAGAGCUCGUUUCUGUGCUGUUUCUUGUGCUCGCUUAAAAAAGUAUAGCGCAUAACGCAACUUAUGCUCUCUCAUAGCUACUAGAUGAGGCUUGUGUCUAUGGAAAGGACCAAUGGAGACAACAUGAGGGCUGUAUGCAUCCUCAUUGACUUGAUGAAGUCUAUUUGGAACUCUGUAGAUGCUCAAGUUCCAUGGCCGCACAUUGAGGGCUUUUCUUCGAUUUUUGUUGUCCACUGAAGUUUCUUCCGAUACAUCUUUUGGGUAAAGCUUAUCUCGCUUUCUGGCCCUUCUGAAAGUUUAUCGAUAUGAGAUCCAAUGCUGAUCUCGGUUUCGUGCUGUUCAUGUAGAAGGGGUAUGGGAUAGGGAGUGAAUGUUAACAACAUUUCCCCACAAAUAUGUUAUAUAUAUCACUGAGUCCGGAUCUAGAAAGGACCUCCUUAAACUCUUAAAGUAAAGAUGUUUUUAGUUCUAGCACUGAGUCUGGAUCUAGAAAAGACCUCCUUAAACUAUUAAAAUAAAGAUGUUUUUAGUUCUAGCAUGUAUUUUGACAAUCAAAGCCACACAUUCCCUAGUUACUUACCCACAUGAAUCAUACAAAAAAUUAGCCAAAAUGAAAAACGUUUAACCAUUUGAUUAGCACAAUAUUCAUUUUAAUUUUAUCUAACGGCUUACAAUUGUUUACAUCAAUUUGAAUGACCAAAUGUUUAUGGAAUUAAUUGAAAUUUUGUAGACAUAUUUCUUGUAUAUAAAUCUAGAGAAUCAACGGGUGAGACCGUUAAAAGAAGUCAUAUACUAAUGUAAAAUAUAUAGUAGAAAUCCUCAAAUUCUUAAAGUAAAAAUGUCCUCUUUAGAUCCUCCCUCAUAUACCCCACUUAUGUGUAUGUAUGUAAGAAAGAUAUAGAUAUGAUAAAAAUUAUCCACUUAUAAUAAAUAGUAGUGUUAGACACUUAUGUGUAUGUAUGUAAGAAAGAUAUAGAUAUGAUACAAAUUAUCCACUUAUAAUAAAUAGUAGUGUUAGAGUGUUUAGAGUUAGAUAUCAAAUAUUGUCGCCUGAGUCUUCAUUUAACAUGAUCUCAGAAAUCUUGAUUAUUGACAGAAAAUUAAAGAAAGAACAAUCAUAUAUGCAGAAUUCGGCAACCCGUCAUUUCCGUCAUUUGUGUCUCUUCAAUUCAGAUCCUUAAGCAUAUAAUUAACUGAAAACCCGGCCAUUUGGUAGUUCAAAGUUCAAACUGUACAGCUAGAUGUCAUACUCAUAUGCAGAAAGAGUGAAGCAGGAAGAGGAAACUUACCAGACUUUCGGAGUCAGCAAGGUCCUCGAUACCGUCCGCCAUUGAUCUAAGCUUGGGAAUGGUCAAGUAUCAUGAACACUAGUACUGUUCUCAGUAUCACGUCCCUGCCCCAACUGAGCUGACAUACUAAUCUCAUCAGGAUGAGGAUGAUGAUCAAUUCGGCGGACACGGUACUGACUUCACUUCAGACCACCAAAGUACCAAGUAGUAAUCAUUGGCCCUCAAUACAUUCAAUUAUUAGUGGAAGCAGCCAUUGACUCUCGGUUGUUAAUAUGUGUAAUUGUGUAUACAAAGAGCCAUUCUAACGAGACCUUUAAGUUCAGGACUUUUUGGCUUAAGUUCAGGACUUUUUGGCUUAUCUCAUUUUUUAUUUUAUACCCACAUCUUAACCGUCGAGUUUUAUUUAUGAGUAUAUCAUUUCUGUAUAUUUAAUUUCAGCCAUAUUGAAAAUCGUUAAGGCAUUUAUAAGUGUGAUUUACUAAUUAUGACAUUCAACAAUUCAUGUUUGACAGAUUUGGUUCGUCCAAUAAUUUGAUCUAGUUUGUUACCUUAACGAUCACUAAUUUAGCUAAAAAUUUGUAGAAAUGAUCUACUGAUAUAGAUCUAAAAAUUAAACGGAUAAGAUGUCAAAAUGUGAUCGAAAAAUAGGUCUUUUUAACCAUAAAUUAAAAAGUCCUCAACUAGUCUAAUUUCCGUGCUGGCCAAAAGACCUAUAUAAACUCAUAUAUGGAUAAGUUUCUCACCUUUUUAGGACAUUUCAUAAUAUGAGUUACCAAACCCCAAAGCAGUAACCACCUUCCCAAUUUCUUCAAUCUCCAAUUCUUCUUUUAAGGGAAUCUUACAAGGCGGCAUGGUACCAGAGCACCAUGCAACUCAGAUUCACGGAGAGCUCCUCCGGAGUCGCCUAUUCACUUUGUGGUUGAUCCUAUCUCUAAUUAUAACGACCACGACGACAUCAGCGUAUGGCGAGUCGUUGACGUGUUUGACGCUUUACGAACAAGGCGGUGAUCCCGCCAUUUUGUAUUGUCAGGAUUUUCAAUUUACUUGGAAGUUGAAAUGUUCUGCAGAUGGUCAGACCUUCUCCAAGGUUCAAUUUUAAUGAUUGAAUUUUUGUAAUCAACGUGGAUCAACUGCUAUAUAUGUACUGAUGUUGAGACAACAAUAUUUUGUACCUGUGUAUACUAUUUUAGUUUCUCAUCGAAAACAACCUAGCUGCAAGGCAUUACUACAAUUCUCAAAACAAAACAAAAUGUUCAUUACUAAAAGAAGAUCGAUCAAUCAUAAAACUCUACUGUGAUGACUUGUCUGCAAAAUGAGCAUCCCAGCUUCCUAGUCCCAUACCACUUCAAAUAAUGUAUGGUUUAUCGAGCUAUCAAUUCAAGAUUGGGAUACAGAAAUAUAAUCCUUGCAGAAUAUGGUUUAGUAUUAAAAUAGGAUUCUGAUUUAAAAUAUAUGUUUUAUUUCUUCAAAUCCGUUUUAUAUAGGAACAUGAUCAGCUAGGUUGGAGCUUCUAUAAAAACCUAGGCCUAGGCCUCUUCUCUUCCAGUGCAUGCGCUGGCUUUUAUCGAGUAUGAGUCACGAAAGACAACAGCAGGUGGAUGACAACAACAGUAGGUGGUCGAAGCACCUUCCUGAUGAAUUGAUCGAGAUGAUUGUGAAGCGUCUAACCCUAGUCGAUUCAAUCAGAUUCGCUGCUGUUUGUUCUACUUGGAGAAGUGUAUCAUCACAAUGGUUUCAACGAGUAACCAGACUUCCAUGGCUCUUAAAAUCGGUUGAGAUUCUAGACUCAAAAACUACUGUGAAUUAUAGUCUCUAUAGUGUAAGUGAAGACACAGCCUACGACCUCAAGUUUCCAAGCGAAAGCGCCUCCAGUGACGGGAUACAUUGCACGGGCUCUGCUAAUGGCUGGUUGAUAAUGUCUGAAUAUUGUAAUGAACCGAUAACGUGCACCAAUUAUUUAUUGAACCCAAUGACAGGUGAUCGUAUUAAGCUUCCCCAAGUGACCGGAUUCAUCCCUCAAGUGUCCACGGCCUCUUCAGAUCCAAGAUCUCCUGAUUGCAUUGUUGCAACUAAGAACGGUUUAGGGUUCAUCUUUUGCAGGCCAGGUAGUCAAGACUGGAGUUGGACGACAACGACACCGGAGCUUGGUAGGAUGGAUUCCAUGAAAUUUCAUGAUGAUGGUAAGUUAUACGUAACAGGACGGAAGUAUGAUGCGUAUGAUGUGGUCCGAAGGUUUAGCGAUUAUUAUCAUGUGCUUGUUGUUUUUGUUCCUGUUAUUGGCAAAGACGAGGAAAUUACUUGGGACAAGGAAAGGGUGAUAAAAUUAGCACCCCACGAGCCUUGGACCGGUGUGGAGUCAAUAACCGAACCGUGGCUGGAGUUCGCGGGUCCAGAAGUUACUUUGUCCUCCAAAGGUAAGCUUUUGCUAGUUUGGAGGCGAAGGUACAUUCACGAGCCCGACCCGCCACACUUUCCAUAUCAUGUGGUAAAGAUGGAUGAUGAUGGCUGGCCAGGCUGGGAGAACUCGGUGGAUUUUCAUGUGGUAAAGAAAGAUAAGAUUUGGGCAGCGUAUGAUGCUUCUGAAGACGAACUAGUCUUGAUAUCUCAUGGCUACAUCUCAGUGCGAAAGUCCAAUAAGUCAUUUACGCGGCCAACCAUAGACGAGCGCUUUUUUGGACGUCAUUGCAGAAAACUGAGCACAUUCUGUUGGGAGACUACGGAAGAUGGUGGUCUGUUGGAUAAUAUUAAAUAUGGGCGAUGGUUUUCGCCCAACAUAGCAGCGCUGCCAAAUAAUUCAAGGAGAUUCUAGGUAUAGGAUCGAUGACAUUUAAAAUAUAAAAUAAAAAAUAAAAAAACUUUUUCUUAAAUAACUCGCACGAGAUUUGAACUCAUAACCUCAAAGUUGUUAGAAAGAGAAAUUUGUGUUUGGGUUCUGAACUGUGCUUUAGGUCACUUGAUGUCAAGUGUUGUGCAUGCAAUGUACAUGCUUCACCAAUUUUAUGUAAUACAUGUAAUGGAGUCGAGUUAUGUGGCCGGUCUUGUAGAAACGAAUCGUCAGUUUUACACCAACAAAAUGGUCUAUGUUGCAUCUUUUGAAUGGUACACCCAAAAUAACAAUAAAUUAAGAAACUUUACAAUUCACUGUCCAGGUUAAUCAAUGAAUUUCUCCCAUUGAAGCAUGUUGGUGAUGGAAAGGUACUGCAAAGGGGUUAUGAUGAGUGAGGCAUCAUUUAUCAAUCUAUUUAUUUGCAUGUUUAAUAGUUUUUUUUUUUCUUCUCCUAUCUCUUUUAGUAUUCUAACGAAAGUGAGCCAUACACUUCCGAGAUCAGUCAAAGUCUUUACUCUAAAAGAGAGAGAUCCGUUUUUGUCUAAGAAAGAUGAGAAAGAUGUGUUAAGAGAUGGAGUUACCAUCUAAGUACAAUAAGACGCAUCAAUGUACUUAAUGCAAUAUAAAAGACUUAACAUCUCAUUCGUUGUAAAGCUAAGUGCAGCUAUGCGCCCACGCAACACCAAUGGAAUGACAUGAGGACAUCCGUUAAAUACUUAAAAGUAUUUGGGUUUAUUCAAUCCUUACAUAGAAUACGACAUGAUAGAAUGGACACUAUCCAAGCCAUCGCUAGCUAUGCAUAAAGAAAGAUGCAUCAAAAGUAAAAUCAGAAAAUAUGAACAUGUAUUUUCUGGACAACCAACUUCAACGAAGCUUUGUGUCCCCUUCUAGAAUGAACCAGAAAGUUUGUAAUAUACGGUUGGAAAGGUACGAAUGUCUACUUCCAGAAUCGUUUACGGAUCUUCCAUAUCUAUUUCCUAGAGAAAGUUACGGCUAUUUUUGUCCCCGAAAGUCAUCCUUGAUGGUACUCAUCCUUCACCAUGUUUGUAUUGUCAAUUAUGAUGAAUAUCCCAUAUGACUCGAGUUGUUUUACCUUGCCAGAGAUAAUAUCUCCGACUUGCAAGCUAUCCAAAUUAAGGACUUGUUGAAGACUUUUCGGCUUAUCCCACAUUUCGAUCUUAUAUCCAUAUCUUGACCGUUCAGUUUAUAUAUACCUUUAUGAGUAUUUAUCCAAAUUUUCAGCUAUAUUGAAAAUUGUUAAGGCAUUCAUAAGUGUGAUUUAUCAAUUAUGAACUUGAACGGUUCAUAUUUAACAGAUUUGGUUCGUUCAUUAAUUUGAUAUAGUUUGUUAUCUUAACAAACACCAAUUUGGCUGAAAAUUUAUAUAAAUAAUUUACUCAUAUAUAAACCUAAAAACUGAACGGAUGAGAUGUCAAAAUGUGAUAGAAAAAUAAGUUUGUUAAACCAUAAACCGAAAAGUCUUAAACUAGUCAUCAACUUAAGAGUCCUCACUAGAAAAGCUCUCAUUCUUUGCACACUGUGACAAACUUCUUGCACUCGAUGACUUCAAGGUAACUUCAGCUCUCUUUGAUAAAGGCUCCACAUAUGACACCCUGCACUUAAAAUUCUUGGUAAGAGUUCACCACCGGAUACAUUUUCGCCAAUAAGUAUACAUAUUUUGCCCAGCAUAAUAAACAAAAUUAUUUACCUGGCCGAUAACAAGUUUUCCAACUGGGAAUUCCUUUUCAGGAUCAUCCACAUAUCCAUCAUACAAAUUGGAGACGAGAAUUUUGGCAUCAAGCUUCCGUGAAAGCAAAAUAAAACUUUCUUUUGAUGAAACACUUUUCACAUAAGCACAUAAGACUCCGCAUAUAUAAGAAGUUAGAAAGCAAAUUUUCAAGCAAAGCUUAGGAACAUCUAAGAAACUUCUACAACCUGUACGACCAUAUUAGGUAUGAUAAUCCUCCUACUGAGCUUCAUGGUUUCUUACAAGCGGAUUAUUUGGGUAUCCCUAAUUAUCGGUUUUCAUAGUGGGAAGAUUGCCUGGUUUUUUAUGGGUACAAGAAACAAUGUCUUUUUGUUUGUUGUUUUGGUUUGUAAUUGGAAUGGUUUUGGCCUAGUCCCCCAUUCCUCUUUUCAUGUAAUUUCUUUUAUUAUUUUAAAUAAAAAUUCUGAUAAGGGACGGGCGGUGGGUUCCCGGUUGUAGCGGUCCCCUUUGGGGUAGAGUGGGUGCUCUGUCAACCACCAGACUGCUACAGAGGAGCUGAUAUCGCCUAAUCCUUGUCAGUUUAAAAAAAAAAAAAUAUUAGGUUUCAGAUCGUCAAUCUUUUGCACAUGCUCCGUAUGAGUAUACCUGACCAAAAAAAAAAAAUUACUUUCUCAAAUAGUAAAUUAUAAUAGUAGAAUUCAAGGCAUGACGUCUAAAACUGGGAAAAUUCUAGUAUAUCAUAUGGUAUAGCAUGCCUAACAAAAUGUGUGGCUAUCAUUGAUAAAGAAGUAACUAAAUGACCAUGUAAUGACUAUUUACCCUCUCAAAGGCCCUCAUGUGUCAUAUAAUUAGACACAUUUGCCAUACCAUAUGGUAUGAUAGACAAACCCCAAAACUGAGACUAGACCAAUCUAUAUUCUAACAAAAAAGACAUGUCAUAAACACAUAAACAAGAUGGGUACAUUGAAUUCUUGACAAGGCGUGCCAACUAAAGAAGAUCGUAAUGACAACUCAAAGUGAAAAGUUCCCUGUCUAGAGCGACUACUACAUUCAAGGACUGCAUUUGACAAAUCUGUCCAUCCUCGUAUCCGGACAAGAAUAAGAAGCUGAGCCCUGAGGGCAUCUCCAACAAUCUUUUUUAUACCCAUACAUAUACCUAUAUUUUGAGUCACCUAAACCCAUUACUAUUCAAACUCAUAUUCCAUCUCCAACCAUUAUAUCAAAACCCAUACUCAUACCCAAAUUUUAAUCAUUUUAUAUAAUUUGGGUACGAGUAUGGGUUUUGGUCAUCAACAAAUAAACCCAUUUCAUAUAUAGUGUUUAGGGUUAAAUGAUUUAUAUAACAACAAAUAAAUUAUAUAAAUCAUACAUAAUAAUUUAAUAUAAUAUGUUGUCAUAGUUAAAAUUAAAUAAUUGGUGUUGUGCCAUGGUGUGUUAUGUUUAUUUAUUUGUUGUUUGUGUGUUUAGUAUUAUUGUAAUAUUUGCAAUUUGAUAAAUAAAAUUGACAUUAACAAAAGCAAUAAAUUACUCAUUAAUUAUAAUUGAAAAUCAAAGUACAUUCUUUUUCAUAAAUUAAAGUACUAAAAUGAAAUUAAAAUAGAGGCAACAAAGUACAAUUAAUAUACUGAGUCAUCUUCACCUUCAGAUGAAGCAAGUGGUUGGUGUGACCCGACAUUGUAAGCUUGUUCCUCCUUCUCAAUAACCAUAGCUUGCUUCUUUUCCCAAUAAGCCCUAAUUGGGGCGGGAUAUUUUGAUGGAUCCACCACCAUUGUGGCUGCAUCAUCUGCACGUUCUUGUGCAAGUCUAGUCUCCUCCCUAAGUUGUAGCUUGUGUUCGAGAUCACAAUCUCCUUGGUCCGCAAUUCUUUUAAUUUGAGCUAAGAGUUGAGAUGUGUCAUCUUGUUUGCAUUUUUUCUUAGCAGCCCUUUGAGCUUUUUGGCCUGAAAGGCGUGCAUGCACAUUUGAAGGGCUUGGGUUCCCUCAAUGGGUGUACCUUCUCCGUUCAAGUCAAUAGGUGACUGACCACUAGGGAUUUCAUCAUCCAAGGACGGAGGUUUGCUAAACUUUUCUGUAUCCAUCAAUAUUGGCCAACAAUGCGCAAAUUUAAACUCCUCCCCCAAAGACAAUGUACGAUAUAUCGACCUAGCUUGCACUUCCUAUGUAUUCAUACAAUAAAUAAUAUAUAAGUGGUCAUAUAUAUAUAUAUAUAUAAACAUGUAUUAGUGAUUAUAAACAAGUAGAUAUUAAUUGUCAUAAACAUAAACUAAUAUUAGCAAAUUCCUUAUAUUGGGUUAUGAACAAAUAAAUACUACCGGUCAUAAACAAAUAAAUAUUACCAAGUCGGUGGCAUUUUCACCACUUGCGUGAGCGGCUUCCGCUUUGGUAAGAGCUUCACGCCACCUUGUGCAACCCGGUCUAAUCUUUCUCCAACGAGCUUCACACCCUCCUCCCGAUCUAAUAACGGAACUGGGUGGCUUGCAAGCUUCAUACACUUCCCAUAUACGAUCCCAUAAUUUUUUCUUCUCUUGACCCGUAGCUUUGUCACCGUCUUCACCAACCGCAACCACCGCUAUGCACAACGACACAUCUUCGAGGUUUUUCCAAGCUUCUCCUCUAGGUUUAGGGUUGGACAUUUUUGAAAAAAAAAAAGAAAAAAAAGAGAUUUGAAAACUAGCUAGCUAGAUGAAGAACAAUUAUGAAAAUAGAGUGUAGAAGGAGAGAAGUUUUGGAGUGAAAAUUAUGAAGAAGGUGGAUGGUAUUUAUAGACAUUAGUGCAAAUUACUGUUCCAACGGGCAAAUUUUUUUUUAUAUAUUUUCCUCAAUUUUUUUUUCUUAUUUUUCAAGUUUUUUUCAUUUGAAAACAAAAUUUUCGGCCUCAUUUUCUCUUUUUCCAAUUGAAUUUAUCUGGACCUUUGAUUUUGAAGGAAAUCAAAUAUGGGCCGCAGAUUUUUGGACCGUUGGAGGACCACAACCGAGCUCACGUGGGACGGCCCCAGCUCCCUUCAUCGCGUGGUGGGCGCAUCAGCUUCUUGCGUUCGUUUUUUUGUCUUCUAGCGCGAAUCUGGUGCUGCUCGCCUUUCCCGCGCGUGGCCUCUGCGACUGCCUCUUCCUUCACGUGCAGCUACUGGCUCGUGGGUCCCGCGCAAGCUGGAUAUGGGUUUCCUCCUUCACAGUCGACCCAUUUUGGGUCAGGAAACUGGUAGGAACCCAUUUUGGGUAUAGGUUGGGUAUAGGUUUUGAUUGUUGGAGAUGAGUUUUUAUGGAUUUUGGGUUUGGGUAUGGGUAUGGGUAUGACAACCCUUGUUGGAGAUGCCCUGACAUUCCGAGAUAUUGUUUAACUUGACCCAUUCAACAUCCACCUUGUACAGUGUACACACAUAGCCAUUUGAGAAAUUGCGAUCUUCAUUUAUAAGUUCAUAACACUUCCCUCUAUUUCACAGGAACCUGAAAAAAAACACAUUGUAGAGCUUAUAACAAGUACAUUUAUUGGAAUUUUAACUCCACAAGCACAGUCAACAAGGAACAAUUUCUACCAUGGAGUCAAAGAAAUAACUAAAGACAAGAGUACUAAAUUUAUGAAUGUAGAUCUGAUGGCCUAGUACUACACAGGAGGUACAUUUCUACAUAUAAGAAAUGACAUAUGUGUGUAUACAUAUAAACAUGAGUCCGGUUCAAAAAAUAUUAAAUUUAACAAGAGUCCGAUUCAAAGAACAUUAAAUUUAAGAAAUGACAUAUAAGAAAUGACAUAUGUGUAUAUACAUACAAACAUGGGUCCGGUUCAAAGAACAUUAAAUUUAACAAGAGUCCGGUUCAAGGGACAUUAAAUUUGACACAAAUUUUGACACUAUUUUCUAACUAUUAGAUUUUAAAACAUUUAAGGGUCUAGAUCAAUUGUAGAUGUGAUGUCAACAUAUAAAUAAUUGAUGUGGCAAGUGACGUGACAUUGCCUAAUCUUUGAACACAUAGAGACCCAUGAAACCCAGUUUUUUGUUAAUAUAUGUGCAAGUGGUAUUUAGAGAAGUUUGUAAAGUGUAACGGGGGCAAAGAGGAAUGCGUUAUGGAGUGGGACAAAUACAAAGCUUUUUUAUCUGUACUUUUCUUGAAUUAAUCUUAUUGGUGUUGGUAAUGGGGUUUGGCUCAAGCCUUCAUGGCAAUGUGUUGGAUAAUGAGAUUGAUCUGGGUUUCUCACCGAAUGGCUACUCAGAUGCAAUUCAACAAACUAUACCCUGUAUAUAUAAUGAGAUUAAGUAGAGCAAUCCUGUGUAGGUUAGUAGCUAAGGAGAUUCAAACCCUGUGUGGGUUAGUAGCUAGCUAAGGAUCGAGAUUCAAACCCUGUGUGGGUUAGUACAAGCUUAACGCCUUAACCAACCCUACUAACCAUUUAACUUGUUCAUCUUACUAUUUAUACAAAAUAUAUUGGCUUCUUUCCGAAUUUGAAAAGUAAAAACUUAAGUAAAUGUCUAAUCUACAACUAACUUUUAUACAUACACUUGUUAAUUCCUUUUUAAUAUAUCUGAAGGUCAUGUAAUUCCAUGUGAAAUGUAUUAUAUGUAUAUAAGGCAUGAUGGCCUAACCUUACUUUGGGUUUCUAGCCAUAAAAAAAAAAAAUGUUUAAAGUAAACUUUUAAGAAUUAUUAACGGUUCAACACUAACAUUUUCACCUUAACUUAGUAAUUACUACAACUCCUUAUAGAUCAAUGUUUAUUCAAGGUUUUCUUUUCAAAUAUAGUACAUAAUAUAGAAAACAAACAUCUUUUAAAGUUUGGUUUAAAAUUUCCUUGUUUUUCUUUAAAUUUCAGUUAAUUUUCUCAUUUUUUUAUUGCAAUUGAUAUUUCCCCGAAAUUUCCGUAAUCACCAAAAUUUUACUCCUUGACCACGUUACUUGCCACAUCAAUUAUUUAUAUGUUGACAUCUUAUCUACAAUUGAUCUAGACCCUUGAAUGUUUUAAAAUCUAAUGAUCAAGAAAUAAUGUCAAAAUUCGUGUCAAAUUUGAUAUUUCUUAAAUCGGACCCUACAAAUAUAUAUAUAAUUAUGAAAAUGUCUACAAAGAUAGAAGAGGACCUUCAUUUUUUCAUAUAACAAUAAAAGAUAUACAUAACAUACACUCAUCAUGAUGCUCAAAGAGUAACUAUACAUUUCUGGAUAUAUGAAAUGCCUUAAUAUCUAUGAGGAUGGAAGAGAGCAUCAUUUUUUUUUAUUUUUUAUAAGAAUAGAUGAUGUACAAAGUUACACAUAACUCUGGAUGAGGUUCAAAGAGUCGAGUUACAGAUAGCUCGACCAUUUUUAGCUCGACCAUUGCUCACAGAGGCAGAGAUUAGGGGUUAGCUCCAGGCCUGCAGAAAUUUACAGAAGUUCUCUGUGUGCAACUUCACUCCUACUGGCUUUUGACUCGCAGAGUUGCAUAUUAAGAGACAAUAAGCCAGCUGUAAGCACAGAAUCCUUCAUUGCCACAGAAUCCUUCAUCGCGAGCAGGUAUUCUCUGCCAAUCGAAACUCUGGGCAUGUCCACACAUCAGGAUUUAAGUUCAAUGAUCGUCUUCAUUAAUUCCAGGGCAGCUGGAUAAUAGUUCCUCCAUUGAUUC